rnacentral:lncRNA from 1 species
UUUUUUAUCAGUUAGUUGCCCCGCCUCUGUAGUUUUACCAGGAAUGGGGGGUAAAACUGGAAUUCCUGGAAUUCCUGGAAGGGGAGGGAGAGGAGGAAGUUGUGGCAAUGGUGGAAGAAAAGGGACUGUAGGAAGAGGAGAAAGAUCAGGUAUUGUGGAGUUUUGAGUUAGUUGCCCUGCCUCUGUAGUUUUACCAGGAAUGGGGGGUAAAACUGGAAUUCCUGGAAUUCCUGGAAGUCCUGGAAGGGGAGGGAGAGGAGGAAGUUGUGGCAAUGGUGGAAGAAAAGGGACUGUAGGAAGAGGAGAAAGAUCAGGUAUUGUGGAGGUUUGAGUUAGUUGCCCUGCCUCUGUAGUUUUACCAGGAAUGGGGGGUAAAACUGGAAUUCCUGGAAUUCCUGGAAGUCCUGGAAGGGGAGGGAGAGGAGGAAGUAGUGGCAAUGGUGGAAGAUAAGGGAGUGUAGGAAGAGAUGGAAGAUCAGGUAUUGUGGGGUUUUGAGUUGGUGGUGGAAAUGUGAGCUCAUCAGUUGGAGGAAAUGAGAAUUUCCGAGAACUGAAUUCCUUGGAGUUUUGAAUGCUUGGUUUUUGGUUACAUAGGCUUGGCUGCUUUAGAGGCUUAAAGGUGAAGAACCCAGCUGAGAAAAUGUGUGUUCCUUGCUUUCUUGACUUGAGAUGCAGUGAAGAUGAAGUGGCUAUUGAGGCCACAGCACAAUAUGGUUCACUGCUGCUGAUUAAUUUCACAGAACACCCUUCAAUUUUCUUGACAUGCUUGCUCACAGAGAAAGGCAGAUGAACUCUGAACACUCCAUGGCUAUCUGUUUUCACUUCUGUCUGGAAACUUGGUUUUGAACUCCCAUCUUUGCAUUCAACACCAACAGAAGCCCCUGCAGAAAAAAUAAGUUGAAAAAUAAGUCAACUGAACGCAAAAUUCACAGUAUAAAAAGCACUUUUUAAUUGAGUUGUUGUUGGAAAAUUUGAAAUGAACCUGAAAUGAAGUGGCUGGCAUGUGAGAAUUCUGCUUGGAAACAUGUGUCACAGUAGACAGUGCCUACAACAACUGCAGAUGGGGUCUUCUUCUCAUGGCUAGCUUCUGAGGGAGUACUUAGUGAGAGAGUACUGAUCAAAAAGAGUACUGUAAAAAACCAAGACAUUUUAGAGCAUCUAUUGCCUCUGAGCAACUCUAACUCUAAGAAUGAGUAGAUGUAGGUUGCCUUUUUAUAUAAAUUCCUGAGGCUUAUAGCUGAUAUAAAUAUUCUCUACAGCAUUCAUUAUACACUUUUUUUGUUUCUUUCUGGUUGUUUCGAGGCAUAAAAAAUGAACUUUUUUCUUCAAAUUUUAUAGCCUGCUGGGCCAUCAAGGUAAUUUAUUUCACUCAUGCAAAAACCAGUCAACUGCAAACUAGAAGAAGUGAAUGUAGGUUCAUUUCCUACCACCAAACAACCCAAAAAAGAAGGUUAAUACUGUGAUUGUGAGGUAGAUAUAAAGAGGCCCCUAACUUUUGCUUUGUUUGCUUACAUUUAUUGAGUUUGUUUCUUUGUUUGGUGUAAGAAUUCUAAAGAGAAUAGUUGGGUCCCCGUUGGUUCACGAGACAAGUGGAGUAACCACAAAUUUCAUGAGUCCGAAGCUGUACACUAUCAACAACACAGGUUGAAGAUGUUGUUGGGUUUAUUUAUGUAUGUUCUUCACACAGAAACAAAAUGAUGGGCGCCUACUAUGAGCUGCUCUCAGUAAUAUAUAUCUGUGCAAAUUGAAAAACUCCCCAAGUACCAAACAAAGUUUACAACUCAAUGUAUGGAUCAGAAUCUUAUUAAUAAGGCUUUUUGGUUCAGAAUGUUAUGAUAAUCAUUAGAUUCAUUUAUUACAAUUUGCUUUAAAUUUUCUAAUUGUUUUUAACAAGUCUUUUCAGUGCAGGUGAUCCAUAAAUAGGUAAAGUAAACAGUCAAGUGAUUGCAACCGAAGAGUCUUUUCCUCAGUCUUUUGACACAAAGUUUUCUGACAAAAAAUAAAUAAAUAAAAUUUAGAUUUUAGCAACAAAAAAAUUUUCACUUUUGAAAAAAUCUAAAAAAAUUUCGAAAAAGACAUAAAAACUCCUUAACUUUCAAACCAAAAGACAUGCAAAUAUAAAUGAUUCCUUUGGAAAUCCAAAAAUAAUAAGGGCAUUUUUGUCUAUUUUUGCUUAUUUUCAAAAUAUUUCUCUCUAUUUUGGCAUUUUCCAAAAUAUCCCCAAAAAAAAACGACAAAGUUUAGACAUCAUCAGCAAUUAUAAGUCACUUGAGCACAGAUGUAUAUUCAAUAAUUGGUUUGGUUCAAAAACUACCAAUCUACAUAGUACAAUGAUUGUGGGACUGAUUAUUGGGAAUUUGUGAGACUUAUUUUAGCAGAAAAUGGACAAUGCAUAUGGCAUGCAAUGAUCCAAACUCAAAACAAAGAAGCUACGACUUCCAAGUAUUUGAGCAAUUUCAAGCCAACUCAGAAAUCUCUGUACUCUGUAGGCUUAUAAGACACUCUCCCAUGUGUUGAUGUUGCAUACAGAUUCCCUUUGCAUCAAUAUCCUUCCAUUCCAACAGUCUGUUUUUUUUUUUUUCUUUUUUAAAUUCAAUUUUCCACAUUUUUUACUGUCCGUCAAAUGCAUAGCAUUUUGGGUGAAAAAGAAAAACAAGAACUUCUACUACUGACAAAAGAGACACCAGUCACACCACAGAGGCACAAACUCCAGAAUUAUGAUAAUUACAUCCUGCAUUGGAAAUUGACAGAUUGUCUUCACGUUCCCCACAGUUUUGCAUUGAGCUGCUAACAAUCCCACAAACUUGCACCGUUUCAUUCUUUGUCCGUGGGCCACAAUUUUUGACAAAUUUGACAAUCUAAUAAGGCGGUUCCUGACAAUCCAAGGUUAUCUCCAUGACAACCACAAGCCACUGUUUCACUGUUAUCUUGUGAGGAAAUUGAAAUGUAACACCAAAUUUUCUUUUACACAGUGCAAGAGAUAAUGCAUGUUAAAAGUUAAAAAAACAAAAGGGGGAUGUUUUUGUCUAAUUCUAUGAUGUACAAAACAUCUCUUUGUCCUUCACGGGUUCCAAAACACAAUGUCACCUCUUCACUUCACGGGCGACCUUAAGCCUGUGGGCUGAGGGCCUUCGUGUCUGCUUGUUGAAUGUGGAGUUUUUCAGCCGAUGGAUACCAUUCCCAAAUGGAUACGUCAAGCUUGAAACAUACGAUGAGAUUCUUGAUUAGAUCCUUGAUGGCUUGUCCAUUAUUAUUGAAUUGAAACAACAAAGUUUGAUUGGUAACAAGGUUUGCCAACUCGAAGGGUAAGAUUGUAGCCAAUCAACUAAACUUUUUAGUGUCAGGUGCAUCCACUGAAUGUAAGGUCUCAUAUUUGAUUUACAUAAAUACAAAGAUGAUAUUUAUUUGUGACGGGUGUAUAGCUUUGUUGUGGGUACGCUUCUCAUUGUAAAAGUAUAUUUGUAAUAACAUCAGUAAUUUUUUCUUUUGUAUUAAAUAACAUUAGACACCUCAUUCAUGCAGGGAAGUUCUUUUAUCACAUUGAAUGUAUAAUGUAUAGCAGCAAUUUUCAUCCGUACAAUAAUGUAAUCAUCAGCAUGUGAUAUUUCUGUUUGUUCUUCUAUCUGAGUUUGUAUUUAUUCCAGUCUGAAUGCUUGAUAUGGAGAAAGAAAGUACUUGAUGAGCCAUCUGUCCAUGAAAUCAUUGGUUUCUAAAACAGCAUAAUAUUUGUAGAACAAAACCAUAGAUUAAAUUGUUAGAUUUCUUUAUGCACAAACAAGAUCUUUCACACAAAACUGUAAUACGUAUAAAGACAUGAAGACAUAUCUGGAGCCAUUUUCCUUGAGUACACAGCUUCUAAACUCAUCCAAUCCGUAGCAGCAGCAAUCCUAGCAAGAAUAGGAAUGGCUCAAGACUUCUGCUCUCUCUCAGAAUCUGUUUCAGCUCUCUCUUUAUAAUGAGAAUAGGUUUAAAGAACGUGUCUGAUGAGAGCAGGGCCUUAAGCUUAUAUAGGGCUAGGUCAAGUCGUCUCUAUUCAUCACCUAGGGCUGACUUGACUAAUCUUCCAAGUCCACCAGAUUGGUUCACGCAUAAAUGGAAAUAAAUAGGACCCCUUAAUAGGCCUCAAAACCCUUCCUUAUUUCACUAAGUUUUGGGCCUCAAUGUACAACUUAAUUUAAACUUUUAUUAAAAUAUAAUAUAACUUAGUAUCUAGUACACCGAUCUAAAUAGGAAAACAUAACAUAAAUAAACCCAGCUGCAAGUUUGUAUAUUGGACUGGAGUGGUACCAUUUGCAGAACAAAACAAUGUGAUACAGCGCAAACUAUAUUGGCCAGUUUGCAGAUUCGAAGAAAUAAUGCAAAAUAAUCACAACCAUCAUCUGUAUGCAAAAACAAAAAAACAAAAACAAAAAAAAAACAAAAACAAAAAAAACAAAAAAAAAAAAAAAAAAGAAGAAGAAAGAAAGAACAAUCAACGAUGCUUGUCAUAAAAAACAACUGCAGAUGGGUGCUUCUUCUCAUGGCUAGCUUCAUGAGGGAGUACUUAGUGAGAGAGUACUGAUAAAAAAGAGAACUGUAAAAAACCAAGACAUUUUAAAGCUUCUAUUGCCUCUGAGCAACUCUAACUCUAAGAAUGGGUUGAUGUAGGUUGCCUUUUAUAUCAAUUGCUGAGGCUUAUAACUAAAAACUAAUAUAAAUAUUCUCCACAGCAAUCAUUAUAAUUUUGUUUCUUUCUGGUUGUUUUGAGGAAUGAAAAAUGAACUUUUAGUUUUUUUUUUUCUUUCAAAUUUUAUAGCCUUGCCCAUCAAUAGUUUCUUUAUUUCACUCAUGCAAAAACCAGUCAACUGCAAACUAGAAGAAGUGAAUGUAGGUUCAUUUCCUACCACCAAACAAUCCAAAAAUAAGGUAAAUAUUGUGAUUGUGACUGUGAGGUAGAUAAAAAGAGGCCCCUUAAUUUUUGCUUUGCUGGUUAUUUGUCUACUUAAAUUUAUUGAGUUUGUUUCUUUGUUGGCGUAAAUACUAAAGAGAAUAGUUGGUUCACAAGACAAGUGGGGUAACCACAAAAUUUCAUGAGUCUGAAGCGUUACACUAUCAACAACGUUGAAGAUGUUGUGUUUAUUUAUGUAUGUGCUUCACACAGAACCAAAAUGAUGGGGGCCUAUUAUAUUGGUUAGAAGUACAAAUAUAUAUCAUCUCUAUAAAAAAAUCACUUGAAUCCGAUAUCAUUUGACCACUCAAUUAAAUUAUUGAAAUUUAAGUACUUUCUUGAAGCACCAUGUUCAUUGAUUUUCUUGGUCUCAAUUAGAUGUCUUAAUGAUUUUCAAUUUGCGUGAUUUUUUGCAAGGAUGAUCUCUGAAUGAAGAUGUGAAAAAUAGAUCGUUUGGAUCGUUGAAAAAAAUUUCGCAGAGAAUCCUACACCCUCAAAAUAAAAUUAUUUGAGAAAUCCCUCAAUAGAAGGGGACUAUAUAAUCUGUGAAAAUUGAAAAACUCCCAAGUCCGAAACAAAGUUUACAACUUUCCAUGGUGUCAGAAUAUGUGGUUUGAGCAGAGCACGGGAUCUUCUCGUGACCUAAUGUGGCAUAUUAAUAGGGUUUUUGCUUGGAUUAAAAUAAUAGCAAUGUGAGACCUCCAAAUCUCAUGGAGGUUUUCUACUUCUAUGAGCAUAGAACAACCCCUGAAUCAUUAGAUUCAUCUAUUGCAAUUUGCUCUAAAAUUUCUAACUGUUUUUAACUGCAUAAAAAACAAGACUUUUUGUGCAGGUAGUCCAUAAAUAGGUAAAGUAAUUCCGGCCAAAUUAAAAGUGUCAUGUGAUUACAACCAAAGAGCCUUUUCGUCAGUUAUUUGGCACAAAGUUUAGAACCUUGUAUCACCACUAUCAGUAAUUAUGAGUAAUUUGAGCACAGCUGGGACAACAAUAAAACAAUGUAUAUUCAAUAAUGCAUCAGUGACAAUUGACUGCUAUGGAUAAUGGGUUUGGUGAAAUAAAAAACUACCAAUAUACUACAUACAACAAUGAUUUUGGGAUUUGAUUAUUUGGAAUUUGAGAGACUUACAUUUAGCAGAAAAUGCACAAGCAUAUGUGCGUUUACCCUAAACAUGUUCAAACCUCAGAGAUAGGCUUUAGAUUGUGUGAAUUGUGAACGUGCCACUAUUAGUGGUGUAAAACCCUAAUAGACUUGAAAGAGAAUUAAGUAACUUGCGCACCAAGAAAACUCACUGAAAUCAAAUAAUUGUGAAUUGAAAUGGUAAACUAAAUCAAAGUUUCUUUUCCAUGCCUCAAGACAAAUGACAACUUUAUAAUUUCUCUAAAACAAUAAGGGUAAUAAACAACAAAUAAACAAGUAAACAAAAGGGAUCCAGAUCAAGGGAUCUUAUUAGAUAAUAAAUUGCCACCACCUUGGAUCACUUCUGAUUGAAUUCAGAGGUUAAGGGUCUAGUGGCAAUAGCAGUAGUAUAUCACAUCACCUUCAAUUGAUGAAGAUCAAUUGGAAAUCGAUACCAGAGACAGAUCUGGCAGAGCAAUUAUCAAGAAAGAUAUAGCAUUUGAGAAGGAAUUAGGGUUUGUACUGAAUUUAUUGUUGAAAAGUUGUGUUUGUUAUCGUGAGCUAUCUAUUCCCUUUUAUAUGAAUUUUGACUUGGUGGAGAGAGAUUACAACCUAUGUCAUGCCAUCAUGAGGAUCAAAUCAUAAUCCAUUGGAAUUAAUUAUUUAGUUGAUUGCCUUAAUCGUCAAGUAAUAUCAUGAUUUCUCCUUGAUUUUCUAGGUAAUUAUCAAUUAAUAGAUAAUUCCCUUUCCCAGCCACUUAAACUGGCCCAAGGAAUCUUAACCGGAUUGCAAUACUAAAAUCCCCCCCAAAUUGGCUUAAAUCUCAUCUGUAUAAAAACUAGGCCUAAACAUUACCCCAUAAGCCCAAUAGACUUGAUUAGAGGGAUUUGGGGUUACAUGCAUGAGCGUGACACCAUGCGUCGUUUUCAUUUCAAUCACUUCAAUCGCGCCAUUUUGACUUCUACUUUAGUCUUUCGAACCUUUCUAUCUUCUUCUCACUACGAAGCCUAGAGAUUCUUAGCGAUUAUCGAUACCUUCAACUUUUCCAAACUUUUGUUACCGAAAGUCUCAAGUUUCACCACCCCCUAACCAAUUCUCGUUUCAGAAACCAUUUCUUUGUCUCAAUGGCCACCUCUGACUCCAACGUCCCAAAGCCUAUCUCUGAAAAAUAUGCUAUUAUAUAUGCAUGCCCAAGACAUUUGUGCAUAAUUGGGUAAAGUUGCUGAUGAUGGUCCAACGCUCGUACAAUUUAACUGAGCGUCCAGACUUCAACACUGGGUCCAUAAAGAACAGUCUACUGCAAAGGUUUGAGUGGAUUGGCGAUCUUCAUGACCAGUAUCCGGAGCUUUGGGAAAAGCAUCGCAUUUACGAUGCCAUUAUGCUUUUUCGUUUUGACACUUCGAGGGGUAUUUGUUCUCAACAUAUGCAGGGGAUCUUUCUCAAGCACAUGAGAAAGUCUACUCAUUAGAUCAUUUUAGUAGCAAUAAUAUUGUAGGGCUUUUUCGUUCUGGCAGCUAUAGAUUAGUCUGGGCUACUGUAAAGAGUAAAUUGGAGAAAACUCCCCAUGUGUCUAAGUUCAAGAAUAAGACCCCAAAAGUGCUUCGAAAGGGUAGCUAAGCCUUAGAAAACACCUUGGUCUUCUUCACCAAUGAAACCAACAGUUGCUUACAAAUAAAUGCUUGGCUUGGCUUGAGAAGCUUGUGGCAUGGAAGCUAAGCAUUCAUGAGUUUAGCAAGAGAGAGAGAGAGAGAGAGAGAGAGAGACCAUAUUUUCUACGAGAAACACAGGUUUAAAGCAAAGGAUUUCAUGAGAAUUUGCUGAGGAGACAAGAUUUUUGGGAGCUCAAAAGUCUUCUUGCAACUGUUCCAGUGGUAACCUCUCAUCUAUGGUUAUCACUUCUCCUUCUUUCCUCCCAUAUUUCAUGGCAAGAGCUGAUAAAGGAAGAAAAUAGAUAGCAACGUUGGUCUGAAGGAUGUCUUUUCUCCUAGCAACCUGCUGGCGCUAAUACCCUUUGGUCAUUUGAAUGGUUUGUCUUGAGGUUUGCACCUGGUCACGUGCUAGAGCCUCACAGCAGCCUACAUAUGUGAGUCAUUCCUUGGCUUUUUGUUGUGGUUUUGUCUCCAACCAUGUGCUGGAGACUUUCAAAUAUUUUUUUUGAUCAUUUGGGCCUUCCUAAGGUAAUGGGUUUGUCUACUAGGGAAUGGGCCAACUUCACAAAGUGAUAGACUACUUUUAUUAAGGUGAUGGGUCAAUUUUCUAAAGUGGUGGGCUCUCUUUUUCUCUCAUUUAUGCUUACCCAGAUAUUUGGACUCAAGAAAUGGGCUCGAGUUUUGGGGCUCCCAAGCAAUCUAAAACUUCAAUUUCUCGGCUCAUCAAUGGGCCUCAUGAAUGCUCGUUACCAUCCAUACUACAACCCACUCAGCAAGCCCCGAACAUUUGCAUGGCUUGGGCCUACUUAAGCUUAUAGCAUGGCUAUGUGUAAUAAUGAUUUUCUGCUUGGCAUUGCAUGUUGAUUGGCGUGCCUGAAUUUUAUCGUCUUUGAAAAGGGAUAUGAUGCUUGACGGGAGAAUUAGCAUGGGCUUGUAGAGCUAGUGCCUUUUAUGGGCUCAUUUCAAUUCUUAGCGUGACGGAUUGCAUAUUUAUUUCGCAUGGCACGUGGAUCGUGGCUCUUGCAAGCAUGCAUGACGAAUUUCGCAUACUCCAAACCGAGUCUCUUCUUAAUUAGGUGUCGCACUGGACCAGGAAUUUAUUUGGACCUCAAGUUACAUACACGAUUUUUUUUUUCUUCACAUGGGUCAUUUUAGUAGUUGUGAUAACUUAAUAGUAUAUCUUCCUAUGUUAAAAUUAUAUACAUGGGAUUUUUCUCAUGCGCGUGAGAGAUUUAGGUCCCAUAUCAUUUUAUUGUGAACUCUUUAUUGAAUAUCCUCCCAUUCGCAAUUUAUGCGCAUUUUCUCAAGCUCAUGAAAGAUUCUGGUGAUUAGAUUACUUAAUGGAACAAUGAACUUAUGAUAACAUUUGUCAUGCAUAUACAUGCGCGCAUGAGAGUAUUGUCAUAGUAUCUAUACAUGCCCCAUUCUUAUCAUCUUCUCUGCUUGAUCUGGAAAUAUUAUCUAUGAUUCGCUAACACGACACGAAUUCACAAGAAAAAAUCAAUAUUUGGGUUUAGCUUGGACUCGUUAGCCACCCAUUAAGCUAAUAGGUCAUAUCAGUAUCAUUCACGAAUAUUCGCUAACGGGUUGUGUUGGUCAUUCACGAAUUUAAACAGGUCAUGUCCGUGUUUGGUAUUUUCCACCCGUUAACUUAACGGGUCGUGUUCAUAUCAACUCGUUAAGAAAGUGGGUCAACACAAACACAACAAUAUAUUUGGUCCAAGUGCUAUGGGUAUAGCAAUGCUGCAUUGAUCCUAAGCUUUUUUAUUUUUUGUUUGGACGGAUGAUGCUAAGCUUAAUGAGUGCAAUAUAUUUUGCUAAAUAUAUAUGAGCUCAAGAAACUCCGAAUUAUGGUGCAGCACCCAACACCUUUAGAACAUUACAAAAGGGACCAACAAAGCUUAACAAGCCUCAUGAAACACUGUGACUGCAAACAAAUCAACUGGGUCAUUUAGGCCCAGUCCCCAAACAAAGUUCUUUCCCUAAUCAUAUUUACGAAUGGAAGUUGAAAGUUGAAGCCACUCAUUUAUUUCACAUGCAAUUUAAUUUGUGCUCUCAUAUUAAUUAUUUAAGCACUAAUUUUAUGCGCAUUUGGUAUUUGAGGUUGAUAAUUUAGUGGUGCUGAUGGACAAGUCUUAACUGUGUGUGUGUUUUGCAGAAGUACAGGCUCAACAGCAGGGGCGCCCAACCAGCAGCUUCUGCCAACAGUUCGCAGAGGGCAGCCCUGUUUUACUACAGGGACAUGUGGAACCCUAGCGCUUCUGAGCAGUCAAACUCUCGGCAGCAGCAGCUCGAAAGUGCAAGGAAUGGUGGAGAUGGCUCUUCAGUUGGUGGCUCUAGCAGAACCAGAAUUGAAAAAAUCAAAGAGUUAGGUUAGAUGAUGUUUAGUUAUGCAUCUGCUGAGAUUUUGCAUAUGUGUAUAUGAGGGCAUGUAUAGCAAAAGAUUAGGAUUCAGGAAAUAAUCAGAACCUGAAAGUUGUUUAUAAUUUCUUCUUUCUUUUUUGGGUCUCAAAAGUUGUUUAAUUUCAUGUUGAAUUGUAGCUGUGAUGCAUUUUUUGUUUUUGUUUUUGCUUUUUGGGUUUCAAUUUCUGCCCAAAUUGGUGCAGUUUAAGUUCUAAAAUUUCCAUUUUCAUGGACUUGUGUUUCCCAAGCAAACUGGUCUAAGAAGAACAAUUCAAUUUUAGCAUGAAGAAGCAAUUUUUUCUUCUUCUUCUCGAAGGGUCUUUUUGAUUGGACAAUGUUGAAAUGCAGCUCCAAAUUCAGCAAUUCAGGUAUAAUUCUACAGAGGGAGUUCAUAAUUAAUGCAAACAGUGGCACAAAAUCUCAGAAUAUAUUGGGAUUUUUUACUAAGUAAAUGAAGUCUGUCAGAUGAUGAGAGAACCAUAGCUUUAUUCCAAGUACAAUAACUUACAUACUCCUUACAAAGUACAAACUUACAAGCCCUACUACAUAUGCUUCUGAUAAUUGCACACCCCAUACAAACUUAACAUGAUUUAUUUAGUUAAUGAUUUCAGUUUAAUAUCAAGGAGAAGUAGUUUGCUUUGAAGAAGCCCGUGGGAUUCCAGGAAUGCGAGAUGUUGGUGGUGAUGGAUUUGGAGGCAAACUUGUUUUUGGAAUUUGUGGUGUUGUGAAGGAAGUAUCUGGGCGAGCUACUUUUUUAUCAUUUAGUUGCCCUGCCUUUCCUAGUCCUGGAAGUCCAGGAAGUCCUGGGAGUCCUGGAAGUCCCGGAAGUCCUGGAAGUCCCGGAAGUCCUGGAAGUCCCGGCAGUCCCGGAAGUCCUGGCAGUCCCGGAAGUCCUAAUAAUUUUUUGUCAGUUAGUUGCCCUCCCUUUGUAUUUUUACCAGUAAAGGGGGUUAAUUGUGGAAUUCCUGGAAGUCCUGGGAGUCCUGGAAGUCCUGUUCCUGGGAGUCCUGGAAGUCCUACUUUUUUAUCAGUUAGUUGCCCUGCCUUCGUAGUUUUACCAGGAAAGGGGGAUGUAACUGGAAUUCCUGGAAAUGAAGAUUUCUGAGAACUGAAUUCCUUGGAGUUUGGAAUGCUUGGUUUUUGGUUACAGAGGCUUGGCUGCUUUAGAGGCUUGAAGGUGAAGAAACCAGCUGAGAAUAUAUAUGUUCCUUGCUCACUUGACUUGAGAUGCAGUGAAGAUGAAGUGGCUGUUGAGGACACAGCACAAUAUGGUUCACUGCUGCUGAUUAAUUUCACAGAACACCCUUCAAUUUUCUUGACACGCUUGCUCACAGAGAAAGGCAAAUGGACUCUGAACACUCCAUGGCUAUCUGUUUUCACUUCUGUCUGGAAACUUGGUUUUGAACUCCCAUCUUUGCAUUCUACACCAACAGAAGCCCCUGCAGAAAAAUAAGUUGAAAUUAAGUUAACUGAACCCAAAAUUCACAAUAUAAAAAGCACUUUUGAUUGAGUUGUAGGAAAUUUGAAAUGAACCUGAAAUGAAGUGGCUGGCAUGUGAGAAUUCGGCUUGGAAACAUGUGUCACAGUAGACAGUGCCUACAACAACUGCAGAUGGGGGCUUCUUCUCAUGGCUAGCUUCUGAGGGAGUAGUCAAUGAGAGAGAACUGAUCAAAAAGAGUAGUGUAAAAAACCAAGACAUGUUAGAGCCUCUAUUGCCUCUGAGCAACUCUAAUAUUCUUGACUCUGAGAAUGAGUUGAUCUAGGCUGCCUUUUAUAUCAAUUGCUGAGGCUUAUAACGAAUAUAAAUACUCUCUACAGUAUUCACUAUACACUUUCUGAAAAAUGAAACUUUUUCUUCAAAUUUUACGACAUGACGCAUUAAGCUUCUUUAUUUCACCCAUGCAAAAAGCCAGUCAACCGCAAACUAGAAGAAGUGAAUGUAGGUUCAUAUCCUACCACCAAACAAUCCAAAAAGAAGGUUAAUAUUGUGAUGGAGAGGUAGAUAAGAAGAAAUAUUUGCUUUGCUGGUUCUUUGUUUACUUACAUUUAUUGAGUUUGUUUCUUUGUUAGUGGUGUUGAGUUGUGGAGAUACAAUUCAACUAGGAAAAGGAUGUGUUUCCUUUUGUUUGGUUUUCUUCUUGGUUUUAGAUUGGCAAAGAGUCACUUUUGGUUCAUGUGGUUUAUCACUUUAUCACUAAAAUCCCUGUGGUUUCAAUUUGAUCACUUUUGCCCGUGUGCUUUCAAUUUGAAACAAUUCAAGGACAAUUCUCAACUUAUGUCAAGUUUUCGUUAACUUCAGAUAUUUGUGGAGGGGCAAUUUGGUCUACAAAUUAUUUAAAAAAUUCAUUCCUUUUAAAAAUAAAAUAUUAAAAACCAAUAAAUAAAUAAAACAAGAAGAACAGCCAAAUACAUAGUAUGGUAACCCAAAUACGCCCUCGAAUACAUGGUGAGCACAGCCAAAGCCCAAGGCAAAAAAUUCACAGCCAACUUGUUCUUUGUGUCCCAGAGUCCAAUCCCUUUAUACGUUAAGAGGGUGAAGUAGAUAUAUAGCAAAGAAGAACAUGUACUGAGAGUGGCUCGAAGGCCAUCCAUGCAAAAUCACACAAGCUCAAGAAACACUGAGUUUCUUUAUUUGGGAAGAAACCUAAAGGCAUGGAACAAAAGGAAUGAGAUGAAGACAACUGUUGAAUUGAUGGCAACUCUAUCCAGGAUGUAUGAGAAGCCAUGUGCGAUGCGACAAUUGUAUUUGAUGAAGUGCUCAUUUAAACUGAAGAUUUGACCGAGUCAUUUGAGAAGAUUUGACCCUUAAAAUUGAUUUUUUUUUGCAUUUAUCUCGAGUUUUAUGUCUCAUUACGACUCAAACAAGCUCGUCAUUACAACUUAAAGGAUCUUAUAGUAAUUGGUUGAUCCUAUUUCAAAAUAAAACUAAGUUAUUUGAUAAGAUUUGACCCCUAAAAUUGAUGCUUAGCAAAGGCAAUUGAAAAAUAGAUAAUUUUUUUUUUGUUAGAAAUAUAUAUAUGUGAAAAUUGAAAAACUCCCAAGCCCAAACAAAGUUUACAACUUUCCAUGGUGUCAGAAUAUAUAUGUUGUUUGAGCAGAGCAUGGCAUCUUCUCAAGACCUAAUGUGGCAUAUUAAUACCCUAAUAAGGGUUUAUUUUAAUUUAAUAUCCCAAAUUUUUACUCUUAAGGCAUGUUUGUUCCUACACUCUUAAUUUUAAUGAUUACAUACCCUAAGCUUUUGAAUUUUGCAAUCUAGUUCCGACAUUAACUUCCCUAUCAAAAUUUUUGUUAAUUGCUUGCAUGGCAAGCGUGGAUCUCACCUAUUCGCUUAUUUCGAUGUCAGUUGAAGAGUGUUUUCGGGUAAUUGGUGUCUUCCCGCCCAUGAAGAACACAUUACAUGCACUAAUACCAAACCAUUUUUGAACAAAUACUGGAAAAUACCCUUCAACUAACAUUCAAAUGAGUGAAUAGGUGGAACCUAGGAUUGCCACGCAAGCAAUUAACGAAAAUUUUGACGGUGAAGUUAACGACGGAUCUAGAUUGCAAAAAAUUGAAAAACUUAGAGUAUGUAAUUGUUAAAAUUGAGAGUGCAUGAGUAAACGUAGCUUUAGGAUAAAAGUUCAGAGUAGUAAAUUGAAAUUAACCAUAUUAAUAAGGCUUGUGUUAAAGUAAUAGCAAUGUGAGACCUCCAAAUCUCAGGGAGGUCUUCUAGUUCUAUGAGGACACUCCCCUGAAUCCAUGAAUAGGUAAAGUAAUUCCGGCCAAAUUAAAGAGUCAUGUGACUGCAACCAAAGAGUCUUUUCCUCAGUUGUUGACAGUCUAGAAAAUUUGCAUCAUCUCAUCAGCAAACAGAUGAACAUUCAAUAAUUCAUCAGUGAAAAUUGGGAGCUAUAAUAAUGCGUUUGGUUCAAAAAGUACCAAUCUACAUAGAACAAUGAUCUUGGGAUUUGAUAUUUGGAAUUUGGAAGACUUAUUUUAGCUGAAAAUGGACAAGCAUACGCAUCCAAUGAUCCAGACCUGAAACAAAAAGAAGCUACAACUUCCAAGUAUUUGAGCGCUUUCCAGCCAACUAAGGAAUCUCUGUACUCUGUACGCUCAUAAGAUAAGACACUCCCAUGUGUUGAUGUUGCAUCCAGAUUCCUUUUGCAGCAAUGUAUAUGUCCUUCCAUCCCAACAGUCUGUUUUUUUUUUUUUUCCUUUCUUUCUUUAAUUCAAUUUUCAACAGUUUUUACUGUCCAGCUGCAUAGCAUCUUGGGUGAAAAAGAGAAAAUAAAAUUAACUUCUACUGACAAAAGAUACACCAGUCACACCACAAAACAAAGGCACAAACUCCAGAUUAAGAUAAUUAGAUCUUGACAGAUUGCCUUCACCAAUUGAUUACCUUGUGACCAAGGCAAUCCCACAAACUUACACCGUUUCAUUCUUUGUCCGUGGGCCACAAUUUUUGACAAAUUUGACAAUCUAAUAAGGUGGUUACUGACGGUUCAAGGUUAUCUUGUGAGGGAAUUGAAAUGUAACACCAAAUUUUCUUUUACGCAGUGCAAGAGAUAAUGCAUGUUAAAAGUUAAAAAAAAAUGAUUGUUUUUUCGAAUUCUAUGAUGUAGGUUUUGCCCUAGGGUUUAGGGUUCCAAAAAACCUGUCAUGUCUACACUUCACGGGCGAGCUUAAGCCUGACGAGUGUCGACAGGACUUUCAUGGCUGCUUGUUGAAUGUUCUAUAGUGGAGUUUGCCAGCUGAUGGAUACCAAUUCCCAAAGCUUGAAACAUAAGAUAACAUUGUUUAUUAGAUUUUAUUUUUAAUAUCUGGUUCAUUAUUAUUGAAACAAUAAUAAUCCUUAGUUUAGAUAGGUAAAUUAUCCCAAACAAGGUUGCCGACUCAAACGUUAAAAUUGUAGCCGAUGAACUAGACUUUAGUUUAGCGUUAGGUGUAUCUCUUGAGUGUGAGGUGGACAUUAAUUUGACCGAACUAAUGAAAUCGACUAAAUCAAACUGUAAUAUUGGUUUGGUUUUAAUUAAGAAAAAGUUAAAUUGUUUAAAAAUCAAACCAGAUCGUGUAUGGUUUGAUUUUGUUUGAUUUUGAACUCUUAUAAACCGACCUAAAUCAAAUCAGACUGUUUAUGUGUAUAUUUAUUUACUUAGAUUUUACAUGUGUAAACUCUAAUUAGAUAAUACCUAUAUAGUUAUUGAAAUUUGAAGUUUUAUGUCAUCUGUCCAUCAAGUACUUUCUUUCUCCAUAUGAGCGUUAUGAUUACAUAUGAAUUGAGUUAUAUUAGUUAUUAAAAUUUGAAGUUUUAUGGCAUUGAAAUUCCCAAAUGGAUAUGCCAAGCUUGAAACAUAAGAUAACAUUGUUUAUUAGAUUUUAUCUUUGAUGUCUAGUCCAUUAUUAUUGAAACAAUAAUAAUCCUUUGUUUAGAUAUGUAAACUAUCCCAAACAAGGUUGCUGACUCAAUCGUUAAGAUUGUAGCCGAUGAACUAGACUUUGGUUUAGUGUUAGGUGUAUCCAUUGAGGUAAGGUGAGCAUCAAUCCAGCCGAACUGAUAAAACCGACUGAAUCAAACUGUAAUUAGCCAUUUGGUUUUGUUUUGAUCAAGAAAAAGUUAAAUGAAAUCAAACCGAAUCGUAUAUGGUUUGUUUGGUUUUGUUUUGAACUUUUGUAAACUGACAUAAACCAAACCGAGCUGUUUAUGUGUAUAUUUAUUUACUUAUAUUUUACAUGUGUAAUACUCUAAUUAGGUAAUACCUAUAGUUAUUGAAAUUUGUUGUAUUAGUUAUUGAAAUGUGAAGUUUUAUGUCAUCUGUCCAUCAAGUACUUUCUUUCUCCAUAUGAGCAUUAUGAUUACAUGUGAAUUGAGUUAUAUUAGUUAUUAAAAUUCGAAAUUUUGAUGGCAUUGAAAUUCCCAAAUGGAUAUGCCAAGCUUGAAACAUAAGAUAACAUUGUUUAUUAGAUUUUAUCUUUGAUGUCUGGUCCAUUAUUAUAGAAACAAUAAUAAUCCAUAGUUUAGAUAUGUAAACUAUCUCAAACAAGGUUGCUGACUCAAUCGUUAAGAUUGUAGCCGAUGAACUAGACUUUGGUUUAGUGUUAGGUGUAUCUAUUGAGGUAAGGUGAGCAUCAAUCCAGCCGAACUGAUAAAACCGACUGAAUCAAACUGUAAUUAGCCAUUUUGUUUUGUUUUGAUCAAGAAAAAGUUAAAUGAAAUCAAACCGAAUCGUAUAUGGUUUGAUUUGGUUUUGUUUUGAACUUUUGUAAACUGACAUAAACCAAAUUGAGCUGUUUAUGUGUAUAUUUAUUUACUUAUAUUUUACAUGUGUAAUACUCUAAUUAGGUGAUACCUAUAGUUAUUGAAAUUUGUUAUAUUAGUUAUUGAAAUUUGAAGUUUUAUGUCAUCUGUCCAUCAAGUACUUUAUUUCUCCGUAUGAGCAUUAUGAUUACAUGUGAAUUGAGCUAUAUUAGUUAUUAAAAUUCGAAAUUUUAUGGCAUUGAAAUUCCCAAAUGGAUAUGCCAAGCUUGAAACAUAAGAUAACAUUGUUUAUUAGAUUUUAUCUUUGACGUCUGGUCCAUUAUUAUUGAAACAAUAAUAACCAAUAGUUUAGAUAGGUAAACUAUCCCAAACAAGGAUGCCGACUCAAACGUUAAGAUUAUAGCUGAUGAACUAGACUUUGGUUUAGUGUUUGGUGUAUUCAUUGACUGUAGGUGUGCAUCAGUCCUGCCGAACUAAUAAAACCAAUUGAAUCAAAUUGUAAUUAUCAGUUUAGUGUGUUUUUCAUUAAGAAAAAAGUAAUUUUAAAAAAAUCAAACCGGAUCAUAUAUGGUUUGAUUUGGUUUGGUUUCGAACUUUUGUAAACCAACUUAAACCAAACCAAACUGUUUAUUUGUAUUUUUAUUUACUUAUAUUUUACAUGUGUAAUACUCUAAUUAGGUAAUACCUAUAUAGUUAUUGAAAUUUGUUAUAUUAGUUAUUAAAAUUUGAAGUUUUAUGUCAUAUAUCCAUCAAGUACUUUCUUUCUCCAUAUUAGCAAUAUGAUUACAUGUGAAUUGAGUUAUAUUAGUUAUUGAAGUUUGAAGUUUUAUGGCAUGUUGAGCUUUAGGACGGUUUCGUACUCUAGAAAAUGAUUUAAAUAUGGAGCAAGUUGUGAAUUUAUUGGCUGUAAUUGGACUAACAAUAUUGAAAAAAUGCAAAAAAAAAAAGAGAUUUGGGCUUAGGCCCAAACUGGCCGAACCGUCUUAAAUUGGUUUGGAUUGAUUUAAUUUUCUUCAUGACUUUUGUCAAAAUCAAACCAAAACAAACCAUUAUAUUGUAAUUGGUUCAGUCGUGAUUUUGAGGUGAAACCGAUUUAAUCCAGAUCGUGCCCACCUUAAGUGUAAAGUCUCAUACGUGACUUACAUAAACACGAGGAUGAUAUAUAUUUGUGAUGAGUGCAUAGCUUCGUUGUGGGUAAAUUACCUGUCGUAAAAGUAUAUUUGUAAACAACAUUUUUAUUACACCCCAUUCAUGCAGGAAACAUUUUGAUCACAUUGAAUGUAUAAUGUACAUCAGCAAUUUUCAUAUAAUGUAAUCAUCAGCAUGUGAUAUUUCUGUUUGUUCUUCCAUCUGAUCUGAGUUUGUAUUUAUUCUAGUCUGCAUGCUCAUAUGGAGAAAGAAAGUACUUGAUGAGUCAUCUGUCCAUGCAAUUAUUGGUUUCUUGACCAGCAUAAUAAUAGUACCAAACAAUAGAUUAAACCCAACUGCAAGUUUGUAUAUUGCACUGGAGUGGCACCAUUUGCAGAACAAAACAAUGUGAUACAGCGCAAAAUAUAUUGAGAGAUCAGUUGCAAAUUCGAAGAAACAAUGCAAAAUAAUCACAAGCACCAUCUGCAUAUGCAUCUGUAUGAAAAAAGAAAAGAAAAAAAGAAAAAAAAAAGAACAGAAAGAACCAUCAACGAUGCUCGUCAUCAAGCUGCCCUUUCAUUCAAUAAGACCAAGUCACAUUCGGACUACAAAUGAAAUCUCUACAGUUCAAAUCACUCUUCCAUUUUCGGGGAUCAAUCAAUCCUCGAGGGAAUACCCACCAAAAAACCAAGCUACAAAGUUUAUGAUACAACACAUCCUUGCUAUUCUGUACAAAAAGUUAUUUGGAAAAGUUAAAAAAAUCUGGUCUUCCGGUAUAACAAACUUAAAAGCAACUAAAAUCAGGACCAGAUCCUUCCUGCCUGGCUACCCUCCUCUCUUCUCUUCUCCUCAAACCGUAAUAUAGAAGUGAUAUCCUCAGUAUAUGCUUCCAUUUGCUAACUGUACCCCGUACACGUAUUGCCUGCCGGUUAUGUUGGUUAUUUAUAUGGUCAUUGAAAUGGCAAAUGACAUGGGAAAACCAGGGAGAUCCCAAGAAAAUCUUGCUUCCCGAGUACUCGAAUAAUAUUCACAAGUGCUCUUGAUCAUAAAAUGCAAGGAGCUGCUUCACAUGAUUAUGCCAAGCAGCAACAUUUAAUCCAUCAACUAGGACCCAGUCAACAACAGUUGCUGCUGGUUGCUCCCACCAUUCAUCAAGCUGCAGAAACAUAUUGCAGUUCAGACAAUUAAAGAGUGCAAAGGCAAAACAAAACUAUUAAGAAUUUAUACAGCUAAAGUAGAAAGAUGAUGGUGGUCACUCACCAAUCCCCUAACAUAGUUGCAAUCCUCCAAGCACUUCUGAGCACUCAAAAUUGCAACCUUAAGUUCGGGCAACCAUUUCUCCAUGACAGUUUUCUCUUGCUCCGCAGCCAAAUUUAAGCAAUAACUUGUUGUCCUGCAAGGAGUAAAUAAAAAUUAAGAAAAGCACAUUCAUUACGAACAUUAACAUUUAAAAACAGAAAGUAGCAGAGCUAUGAGAGGCUUGAGUAUUGGCAGGAGAUUAGAAGAAAGAAAAAAAAAUGUAAAUGUAUUUAGAAUUUGGAUGAAAAAAAAAAAUUCAUAACAUCUAACAAAACAUAUGAAUCUCAAAAGAAAAAAGAAAAAAUCGCUCCAAUAGAAAGGCAUGGUUCUGUAGUCAAAGAAACUUUGUCAGUUACCCAUCGGACACAGAUAUUGGAAUUUUCCUCAUCUCUUGCUCAAAAUGGAAUUCCAGUUCAUAUUGUUUGACUAGGGUCUACUUACUGAAACUUUGGAGUUUGGAGGAUUACAUAAUCUAGAUUCCUGUUAAAACAAGGCCAAGAGAGGUUAUACCUUUCAUAUUCUUGUUGAGCUCUAUACGCAUGGUUCAACAACACAUGACCACUUUCAACAAGAUCCUGCCGUGUAUGGACCAAAUUGAUUGCCUUUGCUAAGUCCUCCAACACACUAGCCUCAGAACCACGAAGUUUCAAGCAGAACUCCAGGGACUCUAGGAUUGAUGCUAAAGCAGUAUCUGAACCCUCCAAACCUGUUCAUGUUAAAUAAGAUAUAAAAAAAGAAUUGAAAACACCCAUUAAGCGGGCACAAAAUGGCAUCCACAUAAUCCAAAAGUAAACAAUGAGAUAAUUAAAAAUACCAUAUGAAAAAAAACGCAUAUGGGAGCAUUUGUUAAACUCAAGCUAGACAAACUUGAAAUUAUGAAGCAAAUGUAGAAAGACAAACCGAUAGCUUUACAUUAUGGAGUUACAAGUGACAUGUAUGGAUAAUGAGAGAGCACAAUUUCAUGAUUCAUUAGACGCCAAUUUAAUUAGAGUUCUAUUUUCAUUCUCAAACCCAAACUCCUUCAUACCAGGAAAGAGUGGCUACAAAAGAUGAUUUCUUAUCAUGACACGCUAUUUCACCCACCACAGGGAAGAGAGAUCAAUUUUCAGUGUCCUACUUGGGAUUAAAAUUAAACAGAACAAAAAUCUUCCAGGCCAUCAUGUAACAGCAUCUCCACCCCAGCAGAAAAUCUAACCCUUCGGUGGACUUGUCCAAUUAAUUGCUAUACUGACGUUUUUUGUUUUUCUUGUAAGUGUAAUUGACAAACCAUUACAUACACAACUAAAAAAUGAAGGCAAAAGAGAUCUUCUGUUGCCAAUAGAGAGAAGCUUUCUGGCAGAAACUGGCCAGAUGGAGAGGAUCUAGUUCUCCCAAAACCAAGCCUCAAAUGGAGGCAGUGGCAUCUAAUCUUACACAUGCUUCUAAUGUUGUACCAGAUGACCGAAGACUCACCAGCAGGAUACUGAAGGGCAGCAGAUAUUCGACAUAUGGACGGUAUUGCUGAUGGAUCCCUGGCACCUGCUUUUGCAGUUAAUAUAGCAGCAUUCUUUUCUGCAGCUGCAACAGCUUCAGGUCCAGUAGACCCACUUGCACCCAUGGACUCCAGUAGUGCCUGAUAAAAAAUUCAUUAACAGUUAUAUACACAGAAGAAUGCAAAUGGGAUAACAAAAUCAAGGGUGGGAGUGCACUGAGGAUAAUUAAAUCAAGGGUACUUAGGUAGCUCCCCAGUGAAAGCAGUAUUUCCCUGGUGGUCUAAUCCUACUUUACCACCAGACUAGUCCAGUUCUGCUCAACAUAAAGCACCUCUUAAUUUGUUUUCCUUUAUGAGUAUACAAUUCGAAAUAUAGUGUAGGUUUAUUUUUACUUCUUUUUACUUCAUUAACAGUUAUAUACACAGAAGAGUGCAAAUGGGAUAACAAAAUCAAGGGUGGGAGUGCACUGAGGAUAAUUAAAUCAAGGGUACUUAGGUAGCUCCCCAGUGAAAGCAGUAUUUCCCUGGUGGUCUAAUCCUACUUUACCACCAGACUAGUCCAGUUCUGCUCAACAUAAAGCACCUCUUAAUUUGUUUUCCUUUAUGAGUAUACAAUUCGAAAUAUAGUGUAGGUUUCUUUUUACUUCUUUUGGGGCAAGCCCAAGCUUGACAUUCAAACUUCAAGAUCUCUCUCUCUCUCUCUCUCUCUCUCUCUCUCUCUCUCCAUUAUGUUCCAACGCCUUUCCCCACCAUACACAGUGUCCAGAAAACAGAUCCAGAAGGCGAACAUGAAAAGAUAUAAUGUAUUUUCAAGCCAAAGAACAUUCAAAAAAACUUCUGAAUAACCGAGACCUUAAACAUAUUACAGCAGUCAUAUAUGUUGAAUAUCAUAGUCAAAUUAACUAAUUAAAACUUGAUAAUGGAAAGAAACAGAUUUAUUAACUUUUACUUCUUUUUUUUUUAGAACCAAACAUAUUGAUCAGUAGAACGAUCAAUAACCAAGAAUAUUUAAUAACGAUAAAGCCACAAAUUGUAGUAGACAAACCUGUGGAGUUGCUGGAAGCAUGUAGAGGCUAUUAUCAGGACUUUGAUCAAAAGCAGAAACUUCUCUUUCAAUAAGAUCUUUUGCACUAUUUGAAAGAUCCAUAACUAUUGUGCAUGCUGGAAUAAUAGUGGUUGAUGCAUACUCCCGUGCGGCUAAUGGCUGCUGAUUCCAGAACGCAGCGGCAUCCUGCCAAGUUUACAAUAUAAUAUUAGAAAGUAUCUAUGACAAAAGGUGAUGGAGAAGUAGUAUCCUAGCUGCCUUUAUUGAAGUAUAUAUGAAUACCAACUGAAAACUAUGCCACUGGUGAUAUCAUUUGUGUAUCAGUUCCAAGGAAAUUGAAGUGCCUCAUGGUGAGCUAAAAGCCCAGACCUAUAGGCAUAAAUAGGAUCUUUGGGCAUCAUGAUAAAUAUGGCACAAAAGUGGGUACUGAAAUUUUAUUAAAUAAAAAAAAAGUCCAUCAACUCGUUGGGGUGACAUAAAAAAAUUUCUUCGAUAUUUUAUAUGAUAUAUAUGAACUUUCAUAUGGAACUCAAAACAGAAUGAGCCGACAAUUUCAUGGAAUGACCAGAAAUGGACAAUACAGUACCAUUAUAUGAAGUGACUUGCAGUUUUACAGGCAUUAAUGAAGCUGAGAUAGCUUACCAUGUUUACUUUUAGUAGAGCACUGUAUAUGAUUUCAAGUUCCGAUCUGCGGGAAUCAAAUUCUUCAAUCUUUUUCCACUUCUUUUUCAAUGAAUCUUCAGCUUCUUUCCUUUCUGCACAUAAUUUAUUUAAGCGUUGUAUUUCAGACAUCAGCGUAUUCAAGCUAGCCCUCAAGCCAGCAACUUCUCUUUCCUUGGUCCAAACCUCCAGCUACAAAAAUAAUAGGGAAAAAUGGUAAAAACAACACACCAAAUGAUAAUUAACUACAUACCAGAAAUAAGCUACCAUAGAGUACCCAAAUGACUUUUUAUGACAUUCAAAUCAACAAGGAUCAAAAUACUGAAACUAAUCACACCUCUCAUCAUUGGCACUAUUUGCACCUAAAGUAUUGCUAAUUUAGCCAUUUAAUAUCCAAGAAAGAUUUACCUCAAGUUGCCUAAGACUGCCCACAUUUUGUGAUGUGCCUGAAGAAACUGCGUCACUAUUUCCAUGCAAGCGUUUUAUAAGUUUUUGACACAGAUCCCUAGCUUCUGCAGCUUUGUUCAGUGCAUCUUCAGUAGCCAAAAAUUGCUGAACAUGUGCUUUCUGUGAACAACAUAUGCAAAAUAACAAUUUUAAACUCCUGAAACAAUGCAUGAUUCGUAAGACAAAACAAAAGCAGAAAAUGUAAGGUGAAAAUAGAACCCAACUAUGAUUUCGUUUAUUGACCAAAAAAUCUAUGCUUCAGUAUAAAAAAAGAAUGGUCUUAAUGGAAUUAGGGUUUCGGCGGACUAUUCUUUAUAGGGGAAAACACAUUAAAGAAAAAGUAAGAGUAAUGUAUAUCCAUGUAGUGAAAAAAUGAGAAUAUUAAGAUGAAUGGCAUAAGUGACUAGAUCAUAAUUAAAAAUCAAUGUCAAGGCUACUAUCUAGAAAAGAACAUAACCUGUCGUUCAAGAAGUUGAGUUCCUCUAGAAGGUGCAUCAACUCCUAUCUUUCCAUUACCAUAAAGUUGAUAGUGUAACGGUGAACUCACAUCAGGAGAAGAAACAUCGAUAACUCGGUUGUUCUCAUACUUGUACCUGAUUAAGGAAUUGAAGAAACGUGAAUCAAGGAUAUGGAGAAGAUAUGAGAAUUCAAAUACAAGAAUGAUCAAAUUUGAAAAUACAGCAUGCAAUUAUUAUUUAAUCAAGCACUGCAACUAUUCCUGAUAAGAGAGGGAGGGGAGACCAUAUUAUCCACAAGUAUUGACUCAGGAAAUAUUAAAUUAAAAAACCAAGAAGGAAUAUCGUAGUUGAAUAGCCUUGCCUGUAGAAGCUUAGGGAAACAUUGACAGCACAUAAGAAAUGUGAAGGACAAAAUGAAAUAAGCUUUAUGUCCCCAACAGAAGUGACAAGAAAGUGUUUACCUUAAAGUUUCUGCAUCAGCUCUAACAUCAAUUUUCUCUAUUUCUCUGGAAAUUAGAGAUUUCAACCGUGACGUGUAUGAAGUAAUUGCCUGAAGCAAUUGAGGAGGACUCUUUAACCCAUUCACAAUCGCAGCUCUAACCUCAUCAGGUAAUUCCCCAUCAAAAUCAAAGCCUAACUUGGCUGUUUCUAAUUGAGGAUUCAAAUGAACACCACUUCCUUCAUAUGCAGGAAAAGAAUUGCGAAUCUUUUCAAUCAUAUGUGCUGCAAGAGAUUCACAGGCCUUCCGGAUGUUUCUUUCCCGAGUGGUUUCAAUAAGAAGUACAUCAUCUGCUGCUUUACUGCCCUUAAGAGUUGAAUAAACAGCUUCCUUUUCACUGCUUGAACUAAAGCUGUUAACCAAUUCAAGAGAUGAAUCAACACCUGACCUUUGAGCAUCCCUUGCUUGAUUAACAUAAUAACGAAGACGUUUAUGAUACUCUGCAAAUAUCUUUUCCGCUUCAUCACACUGUUGAUAGUAAGCAUCCAACAUUACCUGCUUAUGCCUGCAUUAUGAUCAAGCAUAUAUCAAUAGAGUCCACCUUGAAUGACUCGGAACAAGUGUUAGUCUCAUCAGAACAUGCUUCACAUCAUUUUUAGCUUAUGAAACUAUUCUCAAACAAACCUUGCAAAGAGGAAUAACAUAGCGCCGACACUCUAAACCAGUCAUAUAGUUCAUGUCUUUCUGAUAACGAUGUUGAUCACAUAUAAGAAUUUUGCAAACUUUCUUUCAGAAUUUCAGAAAGAAAACAAAACAAGUUUUCAACUGAAUUAAAUUAUAUACUCAGGAUUAUGCCAAUGAUCCACAAAAGCCCAAACCUUUUUUUAGAGCGUUCAUCAAGCAUCCUCUUCCGUUCGGCCUCUGCCCUUGAAACCUCCAACAUUCUGGCCUUCAAAUCCUUCCUUUGUCUCUUCACAAUGUUCCUCAACUUCUCCACUUCCUUUGACGCCAAGUCCCUCUCUUGCAGCGCAGCCUCCCUAGUCUCUGCCGCACUCGAACCCUCCCCAAGCUUCUCCUUUCUCCUACCUCCUUUACUCCUUACGCCCUCCUCCUUCCCCGAUUUUACCAAUGCACCACUAUCGCCGCCACCGCUGCCGCCGCCAUGAACAGUUAUAUUCCUCCGGAUAUUCUUCACCGUAUUCUCCGACUUCACGCGGGUAAUCAAGAAAUUCCAAAUGGGUAUCAUAUUCCCCCGGCAAAUCUUCCUCAGCGAGUCGAUUGAGGGCAAUUGAGAUUUGCUAGCAGCACUGUACGGACCCAAGGGCCGGUACCCCAUUUCCUUCUGAAGCCAUUGCAAUAUGGCUUCCGGCUGAGCCACAGAGCUCUGCGACGAGCCCUGCAUUCUUUUAGGCUUUUAGGUCUCUUCAGAAAAAGAAGAGUUUUGGGAACUAAAUCACCAUCCUGCGGUGAAUAAUAAAAACCCUAAUUUCUGCACACUAACGGACUGAGAUUGGAGCUCAAACUACUUCAAAAGCCUAACACUGACACUGAGGUCUGCUCCGAGUGUGAGAAUUUAGGGUUUCGAAUUGCGAAAAUUGGAGAGGAACAACUAGAUCUGAGGGGUCGCCGGCGAAGAAAUAUAUUCAAAUUGAGAAAUGCAAUGCAAAGUAAUACAACGGUAAUUUGACCUUAAGAGGCAAGCAAGGCAACGAGAAAAAGUCUGUCGUUUAUUCAAAUCGGCACUACAAUUUAUUAACCGGUUUAAUGCUUCAAAACGACAUGCGGUGAUGUGUGAAGUUUUUGGUCAUAGAUUAAUUAAGCUGGGACACUUAACCAAAAAUAUUAAAAAAUAAAUGUUUGGUGUUUGGUGUUUGGUGCUUGUCAGGGGUAGUUUUGUGUUUGUCCAUUUCUAUUUCCUGUGAAUAUUUCUGGUUGAAACUAUCAUUUGUAUAAUUAUGAACUUUGAAGCAAUAUGACCAAUUUUGCAGUGGGUUUGUUGUAUGAAACAUAAAUUAAAGAUUUCGUAAUAACUUGUAGCUCAAGCGAUUAAAAUUAAUUUUUAAUUUACACUUCAUUUAAUAUCUUUUGCACGAAAAUUUUAUAUUUUUUUCUUCCUUUUAAGCUCUGUCGGCAGCAUACUAAUUGUAGGAAGAAUGCCAUACAAGGCCGACGUGAGAAGCAAGUCUGAUCUUUUAUAGACCAUCACAAUAGUUUCCACUAUGGUCAUCAAGAACUAUUGCCCCAACCCUACUAAAAAGGGAAAUUGCCAAAAUUGGCACUGUAGCAUUCUUCAUACCAUUGUCGUUUUUGUUGGUUUUCAAUGAGUUUUUAUAUUUAUUUUUGUCAAAAUUAAGAAAGAGAGAGAGAAACUCACACACACCGUUAUUAUGGAAGUUGUUAUAUUUAUUUUUAUACAAGAAAUAUUGAAUGAAUAAAACUAAACACAAGAUUUACCACAACUAAUAAAAAUGAUGAUUUGAUAUCUCAGGUUUGAAUCCUCAUGACAUCAUAAUUGUGUGUGUGUGAGAAAUCCCCUUCCUCCUAGACUUUUUUAAAAGAAAGUGAUCGAAUUGCAUUCAAGUAGAAUAAUGAAUUAUACGGCAUAUGCAUGCCUAAGGUAGCCUCAUUAAAACCUUCUCAGGAAAAACCCCAAAGGACAAAACUCCGGAAUAAAAAAGAGUACCACACAUACCAAAGAUAUAGCAAAACCACAAGAUCAAAUAGAAUCCUGAAUAAGAGUAUCAAGGAGCCAAAAAAGAGGAGACUCCAUCCAGCUAAACGGUCAGCCACACUAUUCGCCUCUCGAAAAACAUGCACAACACAGACAAGUACAUUAUCAUGCAAAAGCAGUUUACAGUCUUCGAUCAAGCAACCAAGGGAGGAGAGAUCCACAUCACGAUAGAGAACAGAAAGAACCAUCCCUUGUGCGUCGCUCUCAAGACCAAGAAAAAAAAUAUAUAUGAUAAUUGUACUAAGAACCCUCCCUCUAAUUUAGACUAUGACUUGUACUAAAAAAAGUUUAUAUAUGAUAAUAGUAUCAUUAAGAAUUUCUUUUUAAAAAUAUAGAAUUAUUAACAUCCUUAAUUAAGGUUUGUCCAAUAAAAAACCAACAUCAAUAUAGAAUUUAUAUUUUAUAUUUUGUUGGGGAUUGGGUUGCGACAUCAUCUUUCUCUUCUUUUUUUUUGGUCGAGGUUGCGACAUCAUCAUUAAAGUUAAAUUCGAUUGUUUAUGGAAUUAAAAUAGGAUAGAUUCUUCCACCCACUGUCAGGAGAAAGAUUAAGGUGUGACUUUAAAAUUCCGCGCAUUCAUAGCUUUUAUCACCGCAAAAUCCAAGAGCUAAUUUGCAAAUUCGAAAUCCCCCAUAUUUAGUAUCCGAUUUUCGAAGCAUAUAUUUAUUCAAACAUCCAAUCCAAAAUUCUACUCAGUUUCCGAUUCCUCGGCGUCCCUGUCUUUGUCCACCCACCAAGAUCAAUCUCUAUCUCUCUCUCCUUCCAGUUUUGUCCCACCUAUCUCAGGUACUUUUUCUUUUCUUUCUCUUUCUUAUGUGAUUGUUUAAAUUAUUGGUCUUUUGCAGUAUUUUGAAUCUUCUGAUUGCAUCAGAAUUGAAUUGAUAUCUGCAAAGGGGUUAGAUUUUAUUUAUUUGUUUUUGCUGAUGAUGGUUUUUAUUCUUUGAACAUUCUGGUUGUAGCAAAAUUUGAUAUUUGCAACAGGGUUUUGUUUUGUGAACCUUCUGAUGAUCCAAAAUUUGAUAUAUUCAAAAGGGUCUGUUUUAUUACAUUGAUUUAUGUGUUUUUCUAGAUUGAUCUAUUACUUUUGAUCUUUAAAAUUGGGAUAAUUGCAUGUUUUCCUUUCCCUAUUCUGUUAUUUUAUUUUCUGGAAAUUUUGAAUGGACUGACUUGACCUUCAAUCUCUGGGCAGCUUGUCAACAAAGUAGCAUAUUACGAUAACCACCUGUAAUUUCUAUGGAUUUUAUGCUGGUUGAUAUGCCUUUCUUCCUCACCACCAUUCGGGAGGAAGGGCGAGAAUAAGGGGAAAUUUAAAUUUACUGGCUUUUAUAACAGAUGAGGGGAAAUUGUAUCUUAAAACAUCCCUGUUGUGAAACUUCAUAAUCACAACUAUUUUCUCAAAUUUUUCAUGUUUCUCCGAAUAUUUUGAAGACAUAUUCAACUCCAUAGGAGUCAUGGUAUUACAGCUGCAACUAGUGAGGUGCCUGCAUAUUUCCCAGGGAGUAUGACAAUGAUAAAUUGAAUCGCUUCAAAACUAUGAUCUCUCUGUACCAUUAAAGUAGUUGACACGCAUUGCAUGUGUGCAUGUGUUUUCUGCUUUAGUUCUAGUAGAUCUGUUUAGAGGACAACUCUCUUGAGUAUUAGCCUUUUCCCUUGUCAAUAUUGUUGUUUGAAACUUACACAUGACUGUCUUCUAUUUCACAGGUGAAGAAUAUAACCCUAAGUUAUAUCAGAGCCACAAAGGCGUCCAACAUUGUUAGAUAAAAGAGGGAGGGUACUGGUCCGCGGAGGCAGUGGGACUUCUGCGAGCUUUGUGUCCUCUCUCGUACUUGUCAAAGUACAAUAAUUGCUCCUAGAGAUCUUUUGCUUAAUGCACAAGUGGAGCUUGAUUGGUUUCGGCUGAUGAGAGUGGGGAACUGUUGUGGAGGUUUAUUUUUAAGCUGACGUAAUGGGUUCUGUUUGUUGUUGUUUGAAUGCUGAGGAUUUUGAAGACUAUGUGAAUCCAAACAGUUCUGCAUAUAGGAACUGUAUCUGUCUUAGUUGCUUUAUUGAGAACUUUCUAAAUGUGGUAUGCCUUCAUCAUCCUUGCUACUGAACUAGUUAAUUUUUUUAUGCAUUACUAUUAGUUGUUAUGAUGUGGGACAUAAUUCUAUGUUUCCUGUUUGGUAGAUGAUCUUGAUGUUCUGCUUCUCUUGUCACACUGUCAAGCUGAUUGCUUUUAUGUAUGAAAUUGAAUUUUCUUUUCAACCUCAUUACCAAUAUCUUAUGGAACUGUAUGCCAAAGAGCAUUAUUAUUGGUAAUUUUGCUGGAGACAGUGCUGCUUUUGUGCCCUCACUGAUCUGCUAUUGUCUUGUAAGUCUUCACUGAGAGCAUCUUAUAUAGAUUGUGAGACAAUGAGAGAGAAGAAUUUCUUGUUUUUUUUGAUUUUAAGAGAAGAGUUUUCAUUAUUAAGCUUGACUGUUAGAACUUUAAAAAGUGUUUGCAUGAUUGGGGUUUGUGUGUGGGCACUUAUGAGUCUUCCUUUAAAGGUUAGUGAUUUGGUUAUAUUCUUCUGGAAAGCAAAGGUUUAUGCAGUUGCUUUGAGUAAGAGAUUUGGCCUGUAAAACAGUUCAGCAAGAGAUUGAGUUAAUUCCAUAAAUUACAAUUUUAAUAUUAAUCGUGAAAACUUAAACUUUACGAUGGAAGAAUAACCCUUUAUCUUCUCGUAUUUUGUAGUAUACAUCAUUAUUCAGAAGAGGAGAAGUGCAUUCAAUCCCAUCAUCCAUUCAGGGGGCUGCAUCAAUGACGUCCUCAGCAUCACUAGACAACUCUAUAUCUGACAUGUAUCGUUCUCCUCCAAGGCCCUUGCCUUAUGAUGCUGACCCCAGAUACAUCCGCUUGCAACGGGAUGGGUUGAUUUCUAGGCGUGAGAAAGGCUCAAGUCAUUCUCAUGAGGAGGCCGAACCUCUAAGAAGUGAUACUGAUGCAGAUUCUGAAUGUUUGAGUACAGGAGAAAAAUGGAAUGGGUCUGCUUGUGAAGAUGGAGUAAAAGAACAUCGUUCCAAGUCCUCAAUGAAGUUCUCAUCAGCAAAAGCUACAACCAUAGUUGGGAACUUUUAUAUAUCAUCAGAAGACGAGGAUGUCUGUCCAACAUGUCUUGAAGGUAUUUUUAUUUGGGUUUUUUUUAUUGGUGUUUCUUCUUCUUUCUCACCUUGUGCGUCUGAUGGUCAUUUCCACUUCAUACUACUUAACAUGAAUGAUGACCCAGUCCUGUUUUCAUUCUGUUAAUUGCAAAUGUUUGUUUGCUGAAUUGAAUCAACUGUCCUGUUCAUGUUAUCUUUGCUUUGCUCCCCCAAAAAUAUUGUGCCCCUUCAGUAAACUGGACCUGAAGCUAGAAGGGAAGGGUCGGGUAGUGAGAUGCAGCAUUCACGCCAAAUGCUAGCUUUGUUAGGAAAUAAGACUUGAACACUUACGUCAAUUUGUAACGUUUGUGGCAACUUUGAUUGGUUUAUGAUUCUGAAAAUGUACCCUGAUGGUUUAUAACGUCUGAAAUAUGAAUUCUCAUGUUUUUUUCGUUGCCCUUGUGUGCAGAAUAUACUCCAGAAAAUCCCAAAAUAAUGACAAAAUGCUCUCAUCAUUUUCACCUUGGUUGUAUAUAUGAGUGGAUGGAGAGAAGUGAAAGCUGCCCUGUUUGUGGCAAGGUAACAAUAAUUCUCUUACUUUUUAUGUUUUCUUAGUUAAUAUUUCGUUUAUAGUGAUGAUAAUCUUUAGGUAGGCUCAGCUUUUAGUUUUAUGUCCCAAUAUUUCUGAAAUUUUAGAUUAGUGUUAUUUUGUUAUUAUUAUUAUUAGAAUAGUUCUUCCUUUGUCUUUACUAUAGUCCUAUACAUGUUUGGUAUUUUACAACUAAUGGAUUGAUAAUUUUUCUGAUCUACAUUCAAGUGAAGAUUAGUUUAAUUUAAAGCAAGACUCUUUUUUACUGCAAUGUGGAUUUUGACUCUGGAUUUUAUUUGUUUGGCUUUUGUAGGUGAUGGUAUUCGAUGAAACGACUUAAUCACGAUUGAAAGGUUUGUGUCGUUGAUGAAGCCAACAACAGCUGAAGAGAGAGCAUACUAAAGAAGUGAUGCCAUUGUGAAUACCACAUGUCAAAAAGUGUCAUUGAUCAUAGUACAUAUAAACUUCGUUUCUGAUGACCAUUGUUGUAAGUUCAUUUUAUUCCAUAUAAUUUUUCUAUGAAAAGAAAUUUAUGUGGUAGUUCUUGCCUUGCUAUGUUCUCUGAACAGUAAUUGCCUUUUGUGAUGUAGAAAAGUGAUUUAUAGUUAAUUUUUCACUUCCCUCAGAACCCAUCAAACUCUCACACCUCUCAUCUCUUCUUUGCACAUUCUCUCCCUUCAUGGUCUCUCUUAAACACCAGUCUUCAUCUUUCCAUUCAACAAAGAUUUGCUAUAAGCCCAACUUUUACAACGUUAUAAAUCUCGUAUUAGAAAGGAAAGACUGAACAACAUUGUCCUAAUUAUUUGUCUCAAUAACACAAGGAUUGAGAUAUGUCUGCGUAUUUGCCCAUACAAUAUAUGUAAAAGCAGGAUAAAAAGUUAUACACAUUAGGAUAGUUGUAUCGAGAUGAAUGUUCUCUUGCCGGAUAUCUAAUAUGUCACUAGACCGUGAAUCAAGAUCGCAUAUUCAAAUAUGAUCUCACUUAAUCAAUGAUUCCGAUUACGCUCUAAUAACACAACAUACAAAAUUGUUUAACAAAAGGAAAUUACUCAGCAUUUAAAACAUAUUUCCAAGGUUUGCAUUCUUAUUGGAGCUAGAGAGUGAAUGCUGAUGUGAAGUAUCAUUUUGUAGCUGCUUCAAAAGCAGCUAGGAAGACCUCAGUUGGUUGGGCACCAGCAAAUUCUUCCUUUCCAUUGAUCUGCCAAAAGAACCAAAUGAUUAGUAGUGAUGGAUCUAUUUGGCUAAUCAAACAAAACCCAAAUUUUGAAAAGAAAAAAAGAAGUGAAUUUUCAUCACCCACCACAAAGUAUGGGAUUCCUUUUACUUCUGAGUACUUCUUAAGCUCUUCCUUGACCUUCAUUGUAUCAUGAUGAGCUAGAUCAGUUCCAUUCAAAAAUAUACAGAAAAAAGUUUGGGGUUUGGUUUAUUUCUGAGAAAGGAAUGGCUGUUGCAGGAUUCUAGUUUUAAUUUGGCCUGUUUUGGAACCAAAGGAUCAUAACAAAAAUUCCACAAUCCUCUAUCUGGUUUUUGCUGUCCUUCAACAUGUUAGCUUGGCUUGCAAAAUAAUAGGAACAUGAAGGAAUUGGUGAAGAACAGACCUCAGUGAGCCCAUUGUUGGGGUCAUCAAGAAACUCUGCUGCCCCUUCUAUUUCAAUCUUUUCAGCACAUUUCAGAAGAUAAUCCCUGCACCCAAAUUGCAAAUGUUUGUGCCUCUUUCAAGUUUUACAUCAGAUUAAGGAUGUAGAAGUACUUAACCUAGAACAUAUCUUUGCAUCCAUAGCCAUUGCUUGAAAAUUAAGAAUAGAUUAAUGAAUCCUCCCCAUAUGCAAUCUUACCUGUCCCCAAUGAAUCUCCCAUCUGUGAAAUAUCCAAGACAGAUCUCAUCCACAAGAUCAUGUUGCUUAUCACGAUCCUGCAGCCCAGCAAAAUAUAUAAGCCUGUGACUCUCAAUAGUAUUUCCCCUGCACAUGUUUUACACAAUAUUUGUUAACACAUUAAACCACCACCGAAAAAAUCCUUGUUUCCAUGCUUUCACUCUAUGUGAAAUUGUUUGUUUACACACGCACAAACACACAAUCAGCCUGAAAAAUGAAAGAAAGAAAAAUCAAUGUCUGCACUUACGUGAGUCCAUCGAUCUUAUAAGUCAUGUCAUGGUUUGAAAAGAUCUGCAAAUUGUGAAAAGGAAACAUAAGAAUGAAUACCACUUAAAACUAGCAACCAAAUAAGGAGAAAAACUUCCCUAUCCCCGGUUCAUUGCCCCGAUCUCUCUAUUUCUCUCCUCAUAUCGCCUAUCAGAUGAGGAGAGAGAUAGAAAGAGGGGGGGUGAUGAAACGGGGAUAAGGAAGUACUUUAUGUAUAUAUUACAUACAUCUGCCAUACGGGUCUCAAACACUUCAGCCACAUCAGCGCCCAUCUUUGUAUCAUAAAACUCUUUCUUGUAAGUGCCUUCUUUAGGGAUUUCAGGAUCAAUUUGAAAUGGAUGCCAUCUGAGCUCAAACUCGUAUCGAUCAUUACCUUCCUCCAGAGCUUUGUCAAGGUUUCUUUUGCCCACAAAGCACCAUGGACACACAGUGUCUGCAAUUAUAUCAAUUUCCACAAACUUUUUCUUGGUUCCAGCCAUCUCUGCAACUGUAUCCCUAACAAUAUUUAACACUCAAAACUAGAUGGUGAAACUGGCACUCAAACAAUUGCUGCCAAUAUGGCAACCAUGACAUAUAUAUCAGAGCCACCAAAUUCAUCAAAUAUAUAUAUUAACUGUUUUAAUGUCAACCCAAAUGUGCAUGUAAAGAUGGAUUUGAAGUUGUAUGUUUUUGUUUCAUGAAAGUUUGCUCACAAGUCAUUACUUACACGUCCAUAAAUGUGUGAAAGCUGCCCACCACUUGGGAGGAGAGAGGGUUACGGAUACCUUGUGGACUUCAACAUUUUUUUUUUUCCUUUUCCACUUGAAGGCUUUACCGCCUACCACGUAGCUCAAAGUCAAAACAGAAAAAGUCCACAAAGCCUUGGCUCAAUGCUACCUUAACCAUGAAUGGGUUUUUUUUGUUGUUUUAGGUUUCGACCCAUGUAACCAACCUUGACCAUGAAUGUUGCUCGAUGUCUUUCUUUAAUUUUGGGGCCAAUGUUGUUGGAUAUCAACUAUUAUUGGGAUCAGAGACCAUAAUUUCAACAAUUAGUUGAAAGGAAAAAGAAAACAAGGAGAUAGUAUUAGUAACGAUUGUAAAAUGAAUUUCAAGAAUUUGUUUUUAAUAACGUUGUCUACGAUAUAUAAAUCCAAAUUAUCAUUCGCAUGAGUUGCACCAGUUAUAUAAGCAAACCCAUUGAUGCACAUUACACUCCGCAGAACUAUUGGCAUUGCCAGGCAACAGCCAUAAAAAUCCCAACUAUUUGUUUAACUCGCUCACACCUUUUGGACCCUAUACAAUAUCACAACUCUCACAUCAUGAGAAGAUUCACACAACAUUAGUUACAUUACCCAAAACAGAGAAAACUAUUAGUUAUAUGCAUUCAAUAUAUGUUUCCAAGGUUGCAUUCUUAUUGGAGAUGGAGAGUGAAUGUUUUUAGAUGUGAGGCUGCAUCACUUUGUGGCUGCUUCAAAAGCUCUCAAGAACACCUCAGGCGGUUGACCGCCACUUAGUUCCUGCUUUCCAUUAUUAAUCUGCCAAAACAGCCAAAUGAUUCAUAAGUAAUGGGUCUAUUAAUUGGGCUAAUCAAACGAAAGUUCAAUUUUCAUAAUGUGAGUUUUCAUCACCCACCAGAAAAUGUGGGACUCCAUUUAUGUCUUUCGUGUACUUCUUGAGCUCUUCAUUGACCUUCAUUUUACAUAACGAACAAGGUCAGUUCUAUCAAAGAUAUUGAAGAAAUUCUAAUUUUAGGAAAAGGAGCACAGUAAAAUGUACACAAUGCUCAAUUUGGUCGCAAGAAAACAGAAUCUUAUGAUUUGAAUCAGUUAGCUCAACAGUUCAACUCCAAUCUUCAAAUACUCAGCCAAAAAUAGUGACACAAAGGAAUCAGUGAACAGACCUCAUUGAGUCCAUUGUUGGGGUCUUCAAGAAACUCUGCCGCCCCUUCUACUCCAAUCUUUCUAGCACUUUCCAAAAGAAAUUCCCUGUAUCCAAAUUGCAAAUAUUUGUGCCUCUUAAUUCAGAUUUUAGAAUGUAAAAACAUUUAAUUCUAGGCUGUUCUUCCAUAAAAGUUAAAACUACCCGUAACCAUUUUCAGGAAAUAUAUGUUUUGACGUCCCUUCUUUACCUUAUCAUCUUAGGGGUAAGGAAGUGUCAUAUAUUGGUUUACUCUGAUCAGGAACAUAUAUAGCAUCCAAUUCUCAACAAACACGAUCGACAAAUACAACAUGCUUGAUGCUUCAGAACUUCAGAAGAGAAAUGAUACAGCAAACUGUGGGCUGACAAUCUUUCAUUUUUCAUUUGACUGGUGAGUUUUACAGGAAAAGACAGAAGCACACUCUCUCAUAUACCAUGUGAUAUUUGAAAAGAAGUAGAAUGUUUACAUUUAACACAUGCCGCAAACUUGUAGAGAAGAAAUCACUAUAUACAACCUUAAGGUAAACAGAUAUAAAGGUAAUCAAAAAGUGACCUAAAACUGUGCUUAAUUACCUGUCCCCAAUGUAUUUUUCCUGUGUGAAGUAUCCAAGAAAUAGCUCACCAACAAGCUCAUGUUGCUUCUCAUGACCCUGAAGCCCAGCAAAAUAUAUAAGCCUGUGGCUAUCUAGAGUAUUCCCCCUGUACAUGUUUGACACAAUGUUAAUACAUAAACUAUCAUUUAGUUCCUUUUCCAGGCCUUCCCUCCAUUAUCAAUCUGUUGUUUACAGUGUACACUGUCAGAAUAACAAUGAAAAAGAAAAAGUAAUAUCCUUUCAACUUACGUGAGUCCGGACAGGUUAUAUUCCAGGCCAUGGCCUCUGAAAAUCUGCAAUUUUCAAAGGGGACAGAAUGAAUAACUAGACAGACCCGACAACAUCUUGCAACCAAAUCAAGGCCAUUCAUUUAGCACACCAUACUAUGACAGAGGUAAGCAUAUAUGUUAAUGUUGUACUUUUUAUAUAUAGACAGAUCCAUAGAAUUACACGAAUACCUCUGACAUCCGAGACUCCAUCCGUCCAGACAUGCCAGACCCAAAUUUUUCCUCAUAAUACCUUUUCUUAUCAACACCUUCUUUAGGGGCAUUAGGAUUAAGUUGAAAUGGAUGCCAUCUAACCUGCAAAAAAUUUAUACACUAACAAUAGUUUUGGAUGGAACAACAAUUUAUGUACAGUGUGACAGUAGUUUAGGAUUGAUGGAACAAAAACUGAUUUAUGUACAGUGACAACAAUAGUUUAAGAUGGAAGAACACAACAACAAAAUCAACAAUGACAACAAGAACAAGAAAGAAGAUAACCUCAAAGUCGUAUCGAUCACGAGAUGCCUCUAAAGCUUUGUCAAGAUUUUUCUUGCCCACAAAGCACCAAGGGCAUACAGUAUCUGAAACGAUAUCAAUUUGGAUAAGCUUUUUCGCAGCUGACCCACCAGCCAUAGUUUUAUGCAGUGUUUUCUGCCACAAAAUUAACACAUCAAAUUGGUGCUCGAUACAAUUCCCGGAAAUUCAGAUAUCAGGGGUCACCCAAUUCACAAUUCAUAUCAUCUUACAAAGAUUGAUGGUUUUAAUAUAAACCCACAAACACACAUACAAAGAUUGAUGAAAUGAAACAAAUGAAAUGAAUCUAAAGUACAAGGCUUUGAUUGCUUACCCGUCUGUCAGUUUAUCAAAGCUGCGACUUGGAGAGUUGGACAAGAGAAGAAGACAAUUCUACGCGUUGUGGCUUUACGGAUACUUCGUGAACGUUUUCAAUUUUCUUCUACCACCUUUUCUGUUUUGUUUUUUUAUCUCUCUCCUGUUCAGGCUUCACCACCUACCACGUACCUCUCAAAGUCGGCGAAAAAAGUCCACAAAGCUAAGCUUGAAAUGACACAUACAUAAGCGUAAAAAUACAUAUGGUAGCGUAAAAACUAUGGCUCCAAGAAAAUCUAUUCUAUAUGUCCACUCAACGUCAUCUCCUUCGUCAAUAUCGUUUGUGUAAAAAUUUUGAAACUUAACUCACUUAUUAUAUGUCACUUCGUUGAAACUUCUCCUUAAAUUUGAAAAAAUAGAAAGAAAAAAAUUGCAAAAAAAGGUUAGAAUUAUGUAGAGUUUACUGAUUUUAUUUUUACUUUUGAUGCGGUGCAAGUUUCAUUCACUGAACCUAGACACUUCUCCUUUCUCAAGUUCAGAAUGUAAUUGUCCAAAUAACUUAUAAAUUCAUUAAUUUUUUACCAAAAAAGAAUUCUAUAAAUUUAUAAAAUUAAAAUAAUUUUAGUAUGGAUUCUAGAAAAUUCUUAAGCGUGAAGCAUGUGGGCCUCAACCACGUAACCCGACCCGACUCCGUCUCCGUCUCCCAGCUUCGCGGAACAUUUCCACCAACUAUAAACGGCAAUUAUAAUUUCGGUUUCUUUCCUCCCUUCCUCCCUUCCUCCCUUCCUCUUUGAGUUUGACUCUUUUCAGGUAUCCACUCUUCUCCAUUUUCUCGGAAAUUCGGUUUUGCUCCUCAUCAGUCAUCUCUGUGUCUCUGUUUGGUUGCCUAGAAUCCAAUCAAACAGAGCUCCACCGCCUCAUUCACCUUUCUCGGCGUUCAAACAAAAGAACAAAUCUUUCAAAGCUUUCAAAUUUCUGCUUCGAUUGGAUCAGAAUUUGCUCAACUUUUGUUUUCAUUCAUUUCCGUGUCAAAUUCGUAGCUGAAUGCAAUCUAUUGCAACCAAACGAAGAACCAAUCUUAUAAAGCUUGCAACUUUCUGCUUCAAUUGAAUUAGAAUUUGCUCAAUUUCUGGUUUCAUUCUUUUCCAUACCGAACACUCGUAGCUAAAAGCAAUAAACGUUUUCAGGGGCAGGCAAUACAUGAAAAUGGACAUAGAUGAACUAUUGGGUCGAAACCGACCAGUGAGCAUUCCGACGAAGAGUGCAAUUUACGUGUGGGGCUAUAACCAGUCUGGGCAGACGGGUCGCAAUGGUAAGGAGCGGCAAUUGAGGAUCCCAAAGCAGCUCAAGCCCGAGCUUUUUGGAUGUACGGCUGGGGCCAAUUCGCGAUGGCUGGACAUUGCCUGUGGCCGCGAGCACACAGCCGCUGUAGCCUCAGACGGAUCGCUUUUCACUUGGGGUAUGCUGGUUUUACAAUUAUAAAGUUUUCAAAUUUGAAUUCAAUUCAUUGAAUAUGGGAUAAUGGGACUGUGAAGUCAAAUUGCCCUUUCUCGUUUUGGAAUUGGUUAUGGUGAUAGAGUAAAUUCAAAGGCAUGUUUGGCUGAUAAGUCCGUCGCUUUUUACUUUUGGAAUUGGUUUUCCAUUUCUGAAUUCAAUCAAUUGCAUAUGGUGGAAAUGAACCGUUUACCGUCUUGAAUAUUGGUUGUUAGUGAUUUUAGUUUGUAUUAAUAGACCUGUGAAAUCAAAUUGCCGGUUCUCGUUUUGGAAAUGGUUGAUUAUAGUGAUAGGAAUAAGCCAUAUGUUUGUGGUGGUUGACAAAGUACAUAUAAAAUUGUGUUUGGUUGAUGUGCGUAUGCUGAGAGCAUUAGAUAACCUGAAUGUGUAAACAAUUGAUCCAGGGGCUAAUGACUUUGGUCAAUUGGGAGACGGAACUGAGGAGCGAAGAAAACAUCCAAAGAAAGUGAAGCAAUUACAGACAGAGUUUGUGAAAUCUGUAUCUUGUGGAGCACAUUGUACCGCUGCUAUUGCAGAACCUCGUGAAAAUGAUGGAUCUGUCUCAACAAGAAGGCUUUGGAUUUGGGGGCAAAAUCAGGUCCUACUAUGAAUUUCUUCAGCAUCAUUCCUGUUUUCAUCCCUUUUUGGCAGAUAGUACUGUAAUUUGUUUACUUUUUUUCUUCCCUGUUUUCUCAUUACAGGGAUCAAAUUUUCCACGUUUAUUUUGGGGCGCCUUCACUCCAAACACGGUAUGCUUUACCUCUUAUUGAUUAUGCAUUCCUUUUAGGUCAGAAUUUUUUGUCUUAGAAUUAUGAUAUUAUUUGGAUAGUAAGAUGAGCUCAUCAGGUUUCAACUAUGGAGAUUUCAUUUAUCAAGUAAAUAAGUUCUCUUAAUAAAAAGCUGAGGCAGUAAUUGAUUUUAAAAACCUUGAUCAAUUGUCAUUAGCUGGGCUGGUUGAUCAAAGUCAAGGGAUUACUUUGAACAGCUACUAGGCUCUGCUGCCACUGCAGGCAAUGCAUUUAAAAGUUUGACAACUAGUCUUAGAUCACAACUCCAAAACCCACAAGAGAAAAAGAUGAAUUCCUGUUGUAUCAAAUGCUUCAUUGAAGAUGGUUAUCAAAUUUAAUACUUGUUACUUACCAAAAAGUUUUUUACAGAUUAUCCGUCAAGUGUCUUGUGGGGCAGUUCAUGUGAUGGCUUUAUCAGACGAUGGCCUGCUACAAGCUUGGGGUAACUGUGAUUCUAGGAUCAUUUGCUAUGUCUACCUCCACCCUUAUAAAUGCAUAUUCCAUUUGUUAGUUUCUUAUAAUAUCAUUUUUCUUUUGAAAGCAGCUUCUGAGUAUAUCUGUUAGAGUUGAUUUUUGUAUUGCAAUUUGGUGAUAGAUACAUAUACCUGACAAUAUGAAUAGAAAACUGAAGCUUGUGUUUUCCCGCCUCUAAUUAAUCAGAAUUAAUUACUGUGCUGGUACACCAGGAUAUAAUGAAUAUGGUCAGCUUGGCAGAGGAUUUACAUGUGAAGGAUUACAGGGGGCUCGUAUAAUAAAUGCUUAUGCGAAGUUCCUUGAUGAUGCUCCUGAGCUUGUGAAGAUUACCCAAGUGUCAUGCGGGGAGUACCACACUGCAGCUAUAUCUGAAAAAGGCGAGGUGUAAGUGAUCUGAAGGAAUUCUUAGAUGGAGAUUAGGUUCUAUAUUUAAGCUUGAGUAUUGUGGUUGUCCGCAUGGCACAUUUAACUCAGAAGGUUUGCAAAAUCUUCGUAUGGGAAUCUCACAUUUUAAGGGAGACAGGAUGCUGCAUUCUGCUACUAUACAUUUCUGAAUUUAUAUUUGUUAUGCAUGAUGCAGCCAGCAAUGGUUGUAGCAGCUGAAAGAUCCUUGCUACAGUUAUCAUACUUUAUUCUUCUUUUGUUUUGUUUAACUUUAGUUUCUUUGCGGAAUUCUUCCUCACAAUAAAUUUAUUUGGCCCUCACAGGUAUACUUGGGGGCUUGGAAACAUGGGUCAACUUGGGCAUUGUUCCCUCCAGUCUGGGGAGAAAGAGUUAUUGCCUAGGAGAGUGGUCGCACUUGAUGGAAUAUUCAUAAAGGAUAUUGCAUGCGGUGGUAUACAUACAUGUGCCGUGACUCAGAAGGGAGCUCUUUAUGCUUGGGGUGGUGGUCGAUCAGGGCAGUUAGGCCUUGGCCCUGACACUGGAUUCUUUUCAUGCACCGCUAAUGAGUCUGAGUCUUUUCUCCGGAAUAUCCCUGCAUUAGUUGUUCCAACUAGUGUACAACUCAUUACAUGUGGACACUCCCACACACUUAUCUCUACAAGGGAUGGAAGAAUUCAUGGAUGGGGCUACAAUAGCUAUGGUCAGGCAUCUAACGAGAAAUCGACUUAUGCUUGGUAUCCAUCCCCGCUUGAUUGGUAAGGCACAAAUAAAUUGUUCAUCAGGUUUUUCUUGGCAAUCUUGAUUAGUAUUUUGAUUGAAGUAUGCAUUGCAGGUGCGUGGGGGAAGUGCGGAAACUUGCAGCUGGUGGUGGCCAUUCAGCCGUGUUGACUGAUGCAUGUUCCUUGAAGGAGUUGUGUGAAUUUAGGCUUGCGGAUAGCGUGAAUCUAAAGAAUGCUUCUGAGAUUGAGGACAUUGCGUCUAGAACAGGUUCAGAUGCUUUAGCACGCCUCUGUGAAAGAUUGAGGUAUUCCUUUCUAUCCAUGGCCUAAUUCCACAUUUAUGUAAUAUUAGUUUUUCUGCCUUCAUAAAAUUAGGAUAAAAUCUACUAAAUUUGAUAGCACUGAAAAUGUUAGUAGAAUCUAUGUCACACACAAUCAAUGGAAUAUAAAUAUAGGAACUGGACUACCUUGAAAGAGCACCAGAGUUUGUCACAUUUUGAGUUAACCUAUGUGUGAGUGUUGUGGCAAUGAUUUAAAAUCUGAAAGGUCCUCAUGUUCAUAGAGGUUCUUUCGUCCAAAGAGCUUUUUAAUUUGUUGAUCACAUAAUAUUCAUUAACUCUGGUGCCUUGGGAGCUUUUGCAGCAGUGUCUCCAUUGGUUUGGAAUUGCUUCUUUGUUCUUUAUGUUUAUCUUUGAUGAAAUACCAUGUUACUUUUUACUUCCUGCAGGCAGCAUGUGCUUGAGGGUGAUGAUUGUGAAUAUGAAGACGAUGAGACCACCAGUAAUAGGAAGUGAAGAAUCAAUUGGACCAGAUUUUAAAAUUGACAAUCAUUAUGUCAAUAAUUUGUCUAUUAAUCACUUUAUUAUUUCCAAUCUGGUUAUGAAUUAGGUAUUGAAAAUUGUUGUAAUCAGAUUGUAAGGGGUUAAUCUCUUGUAGUUAUGUAAAAUUGCUAUUUUGUAACCCUAAUUAAGUCAAGUACACAAUUAGCCAUGUCAAAUUUUCUUCCAAUAUGAUUAGAAUUUAGAAUAUUACAAGUUUGAAGAAACAUUGUUGUUUUUAUUCUUUAUAAUAAUAAAACUUUACAGUAGAGGUAAAUUGAAUGUUAAUUGUGAUCGAUGUAUCUUCUUCGACCUCCACAACUAAAAACAUUAGAAUUUUAUUUGAGAAUAGCCGGCCGGCCAGCAAGCCCAUUAUUCGUUGAAAUGGCGAUACAUCCACAUUGGCAUGAGUGUGUUAGUAGUAGUGGGCGGCCGAGUUUGAGUUCUUCCGUCAUUAUCAUCACCAUCUUCCAUCCCUCCUCUUGCCUGGAUUCCCCCACUGCAUCAAUAUUUGCAUACAGUCUCAAUAUACUUGCUUUUUUUUUGCAUGUAACCCAAAUAUUCGUCAACUGUAUCAUCAAGAGAGAGAGAGAGAGAGAGAGAGAGAGAGAGAACCCAAUGGUUAGAGAAGCAAGUAGUGCCGGUGUUGACGGGGGUUGGGGCGGCGGCGGCGGCAUUAGCAGGAGGGUGGAUGAGUUGUGGGCGGCUUGGUUACUUUGGUGCUGCUCUACCUGCCGCCCCUGACCAUCAUGCUCUACCUCCAGCAUAUUUUCAUUCUCCUUCAGCUUCAGCUGGGGGUCAUAUAUAAAAACAUAUACCACAACUUUUAAUUAAUUAAACGAGCUUAUGAUCAACGCUAAUUCUCUGGCCAUUAUAUGAUAUCAUGAUUUUAUUACCUUCUUUGCUAGCGAGUUGUUUUGCUCCUGCAGUGCCUUUUGCUGUAACAAACAAGUUCCUAUAAUGUGAGAUCGAUGACGUGCAAAUAUAAUUAACACCAAUUUCAUCUUGGAUUAAAAUAGCCUACAAGUGACCCUUAACCCUGAUUUUAUCCCAAGCACACCUGGUAAUUAAGCUAAUCAUUUACGACACGACCAUGCAUGUCUACACAUGAGCAGGGGAAAACCAUGCAUAUAUAUAUAUAUAGUAUAUAUCACAUUUUCCGGACAUGCCCAUGAGAAACUUUCUACCUUUUUGUGCAGCUCUGAAAUGGAUUCGUGCAUCAGUUGGUUCUGCAAAUGCCAAAAUCCAUAUGAUUAGUGUAAACCGAAAACCAUAUAUACGAAUUGAGUUGACAAGCUUGCUUAGCUAUAUGCACUUUACCUUUCUUGUUCGUAUGCGCUUAAGUGCUGUCUCAAGCUGUAGCUCCAAAUUUUGAAGCUCUCUCAAGCUUAAGGAUUCUAAAUCUUCUCCAGUAAAAUGCCUGGAGAAAUCGGUGUCAAAUACAAGGUUAAUGAAGUUCACCAUGAUCAUUUUGUCAUGAUAUUUUUCAUCUUGUCCUCAACUCAGAGCUUUUUCCUUCUUAAAGUCCUUACAUUCAAUAUAUAUAUAUAUAUAUAUAUAGCUUAAAUAAUUUCUUGUGCUAACUGGCAUGAUACCUUAGUUUCCUUUGCAAGACUUCAAUCCUUGCUGCAAGCUUGGGAUAUUCCAGAGACCAGCAGCUUCCCUAUACACAGUAUAUACAGGGCUUACAUUCUUCAAAAGUGCAAAUUAAUCUUUAGAAGGCUACUGAUAAAACUCUAAAUCCAUCUUUUGCUCAUGAGUUCAUUAAAGGACAUGCAUUCGAACGAGAGGGAAAACUGAAGGUCCAACUUUUGUAACAAAAUCUUAACAAAAACAAGAAGAAAAAAAAACCUAUUUAAUACAAUUAGUCAUCUUUUAAGAUAUAUAUAACUAUUUGAUGAGCUGCAUGUAUGAAAGGAUACCUGUGGUUCGGAAUCAGUUGUGAGUUGCUGUUCUGCAUACGAAUACUGGUCAUAUCGCUCCAGGAUGCUCUCCAUGCUUUAUAAAAAGGAAAGCUUUCAGAAUGACAAGCCAAUGAAGCUUAUGAAGUUUAGUCAUUUGGACAAUACUUUCGAGAUUAAUCACUCAGACUUUAUUAAAAUGUAAAAGAAUGGUUAACAAGGAUUUUGACACUAGGUUGUUAACAAUAGUAUCAUAAUAUCAUGACACAAUUUGGUAUUAAAAUCCCUCCCCCCCUUAAUUACUCCUCAUUUAACUUAAGGAGCACAUGUACCUGUGAGAAGGAGAAGUAGAUAGAUACGUUAGACAAAUAUUAUAAUAACUUGAGUGCUUAGGGACAAAGUUCACUCAUAGAUUCAAACACGUAGUAUAGUUCAACUCACAUAUUAUAAGUGAUAAAAUGUAAUAGUUCAUAUCGAUGCUCUCUUUUUCUUUGUCGACCUAGCUUAGUCUCCGUCACAUUGCAAUCACUUUAAUGCCCUAUUUAGUUAUAAGCCCACGUUACUAGGCUCGGCACCUUAAAAUCAUUUGUCUUUACACGCCAAGAUGGCUUUAGGUAAAUUCUAUGUGUCUGAAAUGUGAAAGUAGCUGAAACUCUUUAGCCAAAUGAGUAUAAGGUUACUAUAGCUUGUAUUACACCAAAUGAGUGUUUAAAAUGUAUGGAGCAUGGCCACUCCAGACUCAAUAGUGGCUCUGCUGAGCCGCCUCAAUAAAUUUGAGCAUUUUAAAGACUUCAAUGAUAUACAUAACCAAGGUAUUACGCCUCACAUAUUAGACAGUUACUAUACUCGAUCAAUGUUUUAUGUGAUAAGGCAUAAUACUUUCAGGUUUUAUGCAUACAAUCUAUUAUGUCCUAUACGCUAUCAUGCAUAUUAUAAAACUUCUACUUCAGGCUAACUUGAUUAUGCUUCCCCAAAUCUUUUCCUUUUUGAUGUGGAGGGGACGAGUUGUUAUCUCAUUCUAUCUCAAUAGUCUCCACAUAGCUAGUUAGUACCAUGCGAUGUUACUAAUCCACACUCAUGUUAAUUGAUAGAACCUUAAAGAAACGCAAAUUACAAGUUCAACAUAUGAUGGAUUAUUAUCUAAUCCAUGAGAUAAAGUGGUUCGGAAGGGAAGCGUAAGUAAAUUACUACACAAAAGAUAACAAAAGAAAAAUUGCAUUUACAAGUAUUCCUAGCUAACAUUGGUGUAACAUUCAUAUCCCAAAAUCAAUUAGGCAAGUUCAUACUAGAAUAAAAUGUUUUUCCAAAUGUAUGAAAUCUCAACCUCCAUAGUAAAGGUAUGUGUAUGAAUCACAACAUACACACAUGUUGGGAAGAUUAACUUAACAAGCUUAAUCAAAAUCUCUAGCUAAUGUAAGCAUGAACAGAUAUCCAUUUUUAAAAAAUAGUUACAUAAAAUAAUACUUGCUUUCCGGUUCCCUAAUCUUGUGGUUUUGUCUAAUUGAAUGAUUAACCACAUUAGACGCAAAUGGGAAAUCCUUUUGGGAAUCUCACAUAACGAACCAACAUUUGCUUUUCUCUCUUCCCCUACGCACCUUUUCGACAACCUAUAUCAUUGGAAGAGGGCUUUUUCCUCCUAGCUAGGUGCACAAACAAAACAACCAGCAUAGAUAUUGAAGAUCUACAAGAUGCUCAUAUACUAGGUAACAAAACCAACGAAAACACCACUCCCAUCAUGACACAUUGCUCAAUGAAACCUCACCCGGGUCGAACACCUGUAAACAAAUUAUUAUUUAUAAAAUAAAUAAUAAAAAAAUAAGUGCUAAUUUUAUUUUUAAAAAAAUAAGUACUGCCUCCUCUUUUGGGUGUACAUGUGAUGUACAAAACCCUUUUUCUGAGACAGUGAUGGUACAUAAUGCCAGUGUCUUAUAUCAUCUUCAUAUAUAUACAACUACUAAGCUGCAAAAAUACCCAUUUUAAGAAUUUAGAUUGCAUACAAAAUUAAAUUAAUUAAUUCCCAAUUCUUGAUUUGGCCUGUAAGUACACGUCUGUGAAUUGUGAGUGAACCUGGACUCUAUGUACUUACUCUGACAAUAAGCUAAUCAAUUAGAAAUGAAACAAAGCAAUUAAUUAUAUAAAAACCAAAAACAAGAAGAUUUUGUUUCUGUUAAUUAUUUGUAGCUGAUCAAAGAGAUAAUAUAUAUUACAAAGCUUUUGUUUUUAUAUGGGAUUACACAUUUUUUUUCAUGACUUUCUGCAUCUUGACCUCUUAGUACAAACAAAUACAGAGAGAGAGAGAGAGAGAGAGAGAGAGAGAGAGAGAGAGAGAGAGAGCAUAUAUCUAAGUACUGGUGUUUAAGCUUAGCUUUUUUGUACUAUAUUAAUUUAUAAAUAUUUUUGGAUUAACGGAAGCAAAGAACACUAACAAGAAACCAGAAAGAUCCAUGCCCAGAGAAAGAUAUAUAAGCUCAAGAAGCACAGUGAUGAAGGAAAACGUAACAAACCUGGAAUCACUAGAAUACUCAAAGAGCUUCCCUUUGGUGGAGAAGACAAUAAGUGCCACGUCAGCAUCGCAUAGAACUGAGAUCUCAUGAGCUUUCUUGAGCAAUCCGGCCCUUCUCUUCGAGAAUGUUACUUGCCUGCUUAUCUUGUUCUCGAUCCGCUUCAGCUGAACCUUACCCCUUCCCAUUAUUUUUUUUUUCUCUCCCUCUCUCUCUCUCUCUCCCUCUCGCUCUCUCUCUUUUUUUUCCCUCUCUUUUUUCUUAUAUUACUAAAAAUGGAAAGAGGGAAGUGAGGGAGAGAAAUUACUAUAUAUAGUCCUAGAAACCAAAUAGAUGAAAAAUAUACCAAAUUUGAAAGAAAACCCUAAAUUUGGUUGAUACCAGAAAAGAAGCUAGAUGAAAAGAGGAAGCAUGGAGAUGGUUGUUUUUUAUGUGAUAGUGGGUGUUUAAUGUGUUGGGUUUUUUUUCUUCCUAUUUUUGUAUUGGGAAGUGUUUUUGGUUUAGUAAGCAAAGGCGCUGUGCAACACAAAUGGGGAAAAAGAAGAGAGAAUGAGGGGAAGAGAGGGACAGAGAAAAUCUGGUGGUUUUUGGAAACCGGGUGGUUUGGGCGAAUGCGUUGUCGAGUUGAGAUUGGCGGAAAAGGCCCAACACUUGGUGGUGUCUCAGUUUAGUCACAGGAUUGCAGACAGUCCGUACAAUCUCAUGUCAGAUAAGCUUUGUGGGGCCGACGAGAAACCCUCUGUGGGGCUGACGGCGCUUCUCACUUUACUAAUUUGGUCUCACCUUAAUUUUAUCUUAAUAAGGAUUAACUAGUUAAGGAUGUCUUGGUAAACUUGUCUUUUCUGAAAGAUAGGUGUUAUAUGGUAACACUUUGAAUCUAACCAAUAAUUCAAAUUUAUAGUUUCAUAUAAAUAUCUAAUGUUGAGGGAGUGGAGUGUCUAGACAUAUAUGUUCUCAACUUAUACGAAAUCAAAACUCAACAAUUGAAUUUGAUAUCUUAAAAGAAAAACUAGUGGUCUAAAAUUGAAGUUCUUCUUUUUAAUGUGAUCCAACCAGAUCAACAUAUUAGCAAUUGAAAUUGAUAAAGAUAUGAGGAAUCUCAAAGUUUCUCCACAUCUACACUAAAUUUUCUUAUAAUUUAUAGCGCAUAUAGCUUUACAAAAGGAAAGUGAAAAUAGGGAAGAGUAGGAAGACUUGGAGAAGAAUCUUCUUUUACGUUUAUUUUUUUUUUCGUUUAAACAGAACUAUUCUAAGAAAACAAAAGAAAAAAACAAAAAUAAGUAAAUUUAAAGGAAGGGUCAUUAGUUAACACUUAAAAUGUGUUGUUAUCAGUUUCCUUGACUUGGAUUAUAAAGUCCAUCUUUCAAUUAUACUUGUUUUGUGCAUUAUGAAUCACUAAUAACAUGAGUUGUUAAAUCAUGAUCAGAUUGUUAAUGUUCAACAUUGACUUAACACAUGGAUUAAUUAAUCAUUAACCAAGUCAAUCAGUCAAUUGGGAAGCGAAAUUUUAAGGUUAACUGUAGAACGUGGGUGCGGACUCGUGUAGGUUUUGCCUGCCAACUCCAUUUGAUGGUUUAGUUCAAUUCGAUUCAUCUAAUUGUUUGCAAAAUUAUAAUGAUAUCUGGUAAGGAAAUUAUUAAAUCAUUUAAAUAUUUUUUUAAUGAUUUCAUAGUUGUUGCCGGGCUCCCUGGGGUUUGGUCUUCCUGUCAAAUUAAAUAAUUAAAAUGGUUUGUGUUUUUGUUGGUGGCGUGGCGUGGCUUGUUGGGAUUGGGUUCAGGUCCUUCGGAUCUCUCAAAAUUCAGGGAAAUUGGUUUUUGUUUUUGCUAGCUUCUGUGUUUUCUCUUCUUAAUUUGUUGGCUUUAUGUUGCCCUUUGUGGUGGUUUGUGGCCGCAGUUGGCUGCCCCAAAUGAGUAGAUACUACUUUAUUUCAAAUUCCUGAAAUCUUAAGUUGUGCUUUUUUAGAGCGGCACAUGAGCCGGGUUUGUCAUUAUUAUUAUCCUUAUUUUCUCAUGUACAUAAAGAGAAAAACUUAUCUAUCCUCGUUUCAUUACUUUCAUUUCUUUAUAAAGAAAUCUUUCUGUUGAAGAAGGAUACAUAUGUUGACAUUACUUUUCUUUAGAAAAAAAAAAUAACAUUUUUCAGAUUGAUAAAUCGCAUUAGAAAAUCAUAUUCAAGCACACUACUUUGUGGUCCAGCCUCUGAAUAAUUAUAUAAUUGUGUUGGCAUGUGGGAUUUUUAUUUUUAUGUGUGAAACUUAAGAAUUUCCAUGAUUGUGGUCCCAUUAGUACUAUGAACAUUUGUUUUCUUCUUCUUUUUUUUGUUUUUGUUUAAAGUUUGUUGGACAUUCAUCUCCUACCCAUCAUACUCUUGAACAAGAAACUGUUCUAUGACCUCUAAAAGCACCAUCUUCCAUUCCUUUUAAAUAAUACAACUGAAGUCGUACGACUAUAUGCAUAAGGCGAGGGGGACCAUUUAAGCUACAAAUUAUACAACUCAAAAAAUGUCAAAUUAAUAUUGUGAAGGACAAGUGCGAUAAAAAGGAAAAUACAUCUCUCACUUUAUUUCUCGGUGGUUGUGCUCAUACUCGUUUUACUUUCUUUUUUCAUCAUAAAUUUAACAAUAAACUCAAAAGGAAUCCACGUCAAUAAACAGCGAUACAAUUUUAAAAAAUAUAAAGUUCUAAAUAAUGUCAGAAGACUCCUCAAACCAAGACAAUUACAAAUCAAAACGGACUAAUCUAUGCUAUUACAAGCUGGAGACACGAGGGCAAUUUUCCUUUUAUGGUUUUUUUUAAUUUUAUUUUUUUACCUCUAAAAAUUUCACCACAAACAGACCUACAAUUUGCUGUACACGUGAAGCCAUAAAUGAAUUUCGUUUUCAUUCCCUUACAAUACUCAAAUGUAGGUGUGACCUUGGUCAACAUUAUUACUGCUAUAAUUGAAAAGAGGGGGAGAAAAGUCAACACAUUUUGCACAUUGUUCAUAGCCCAACUAUAUACUGAUCGAUCAGCUAUAGUAAUGCGUUUAGCUGUUUAGUGGACGACAAGACGUAUUGAUGUGUUAUUGUCCCAACAGUCCCAUGCCAUGGCCCAAUACAAAUGAUAAAAAACCAACAAAAAAACCUCAUAGAGAAUUGGAAAUAGAAUACGACUUGCGUCUUGACCACAACCAUUUGUUUCAUGAGGUGCCCCACGUACCUGUCGAGCUCAUUGAAUUUGCUCAACCAUUUCUGCAUGCAUGAAUAAUGGCUUAGCAGCUUCGUCCUCGUAUAUAAGUUGGGUUCUGCAAAUGUAUUAAUGCCAUCUUUUGUUAAGCUUUGUUGAUAUAUAAUAUAUAUGUGUCCUUAAAAUAGAGACGUGGACAUGGAGUGAAAAAGAUGUGAAUCGAAAACGAUGCAACCUAGCUAACCCCCUUUUAAACCACACUCAUUAUUGUUCUAAAUCAAAGUGAAAUUAAUAAUAAUCAAGAUAAUUAGAGUGCACUUAUCGCGGAUAAGUACUACCUUAAUCAUCGGUUUAGUCUGAUCAAGCUUCCUCUAUUCUUGGUGGUAGAAAAGCUUCAUUUUCCUAUAAAAGGACCGUGGCUUUAAAUCUAGACUAGAUCAGCACAUUUGGUUUUAAAGUUAGUUUGAGAGUGAUGACCAAAAAAGAAAAAAAAAGCUAAGUUUGAGUAAAGUUUUUCCUCUCUCUCUCUCUCUCUCUCUCUCUCUCUCUCUCUCUCUCUCUAUAAUUCAACAAACCUAUGUUUAUAUAUGUCACAUUUGGUUGUCAGAUAUGUUUAUAUCCCAGUUCAAGAAUUAGCUCGGGGAAAAGCUGCAUAUGUACCAACUUUUCCAACAUAAUAUGUGAGAAAUUAGCAUAAUUAAUUAAAAUACCAAUCUACACAUGGUAAUGGAAUCAUGAAUGGAAUGAUUUCAUCAACAAAAAUUGAAAUCGAAAAGUGAAUAGUUUGUAAUGAUGAUAUUGAAGCAUUAAUUAAAUAAUUCAUGUGGUCCUUCCUCCUUUAACACAAGCAUGCAAAUUAAAAACAAAAUAAAAUACAAAUGUACAUUUUGAUCCUAUCUAUCAAUUUUAACUUGCGUGUAAGACUUAAGUUUUCAUGAAGUGGUCCUAUAAAUGAGUUCUCUAUCUCCGCAUGGAAACUUUCUCAAAGUAUAGAAGAAAGAAAUUUCUGGGAUUAAGGAGAGAUUAUAGAAUAUUACGGUAAUAUGGUUACGUGGUAUAUUUUGUACACGUGUUAUGCAAAUGCAAUCCCUCCUGUGAGAAAGCUUUAACUUAACUUAGAAAUGUAUUUAAAGUUUUCUUUCUUUUUCUUUAAUAUAGAUGAACAAUAUAGUUUAUUUUCCUCCUUUUUAAAAAAUAAUAUCAAAAAAUAUUCAAUUAUAUCCACGUAACUGAACUAUUGUAGUAUUCUAUCAUCACUCGAAAUUAAGCAUGACACAUAAUCUAAAUGGUCCCAAUGAAUCAAAUGUGAAUUCAAACCUCGUAUAUCUAUAUGCAUCUCAGUGAGCUAGCACAUGCUUGAUGGGACCAUUUCUUUACACACCAACAAACAAAUUGAAGACCUACACAUUUGAGACAAAAGAGAACUAAGUUAAAACCUACUUCAGUCCUUUUUGCUUCGUAAUUUGCACCUAUACAUAUGUCUAUAGAUAUCUCAAAGUCCCAAAUUCUUUUUCAAAUAUUACUCCAUGAAAAAUUUAUGUCGUACACAAUAAUUGUUGAGUAAAACAAUUAUAUAAAUAUAUAAAUAAAAGCUCAAAUGUCAUACACAACUCUAUUAACUAACUGGGCUUAACACAAAAAUAAAAGCCCAAAUCCUUUAUAUUGAGGCUCAUUACUUUGGGCCCAACAAAAUCUAGCAACCAACAAGAGCCCAUAUGAUAUAUCAAAUGAAAGAGGCUACAAUGAGGAAUUUAAAGUGAGAAGGCUAAUCCCACAUUUAAAAUAUUUAGGCUUAUUUAUUGUUUCACCCCUGAAACUCGAGCUCGUUCUCACUUAAGCAUUCGGAAUUCAUAUUUCAUCACUUUACCUCAUGAAUCUCUAAAAAUUGGUAAAAUUUUCUCACUUUACCACUUCCAUCUAUUUAUGUCCACAAAACCAUUAAGUGUGCUGAGGUGGCAUAGGCAUUCUAGUAAUUUUAACCCUUCUAUCUUCUCUCUCUCUCUCUCUCUCUCAUCCCCUCCCCAACACUUAUCGCAUCUCCAUCGCACCCCACCCCACCCCCUCUCAUCUUCUUUCAGCUUUUUGCCUCUUUCUCUCACUCUCACUCUCACUCUCACUCUUUCUGACGAAAGAGAAGAUGGACAGUGGAUGUUGAUGAAAUUUUUUAAUAAAAUUUUGAGUGGUGGUGGUUUGAGUGUGUUGAGUAAUUCCAUGGAGGGUUAGGUUUGGGUUUGGGGAGGGAAAAGGAGAGAAGAGAGAGGCUGCGAUUGUGUGUGUGUGUGUGUGUGUGUGUGAGAGAGAGAGAGAGAGAGAGAAUGAGUGAGGGAAGAUGUGGGGUGCGAUGGAGGCGCACUGGGGUUGGGUCUGGGGAGGGUCUGGGAGAAAAGAGAGGGGCAGAGAGAGAGAGAGAGAGAGAGAGAGAAGAGAUAAAAAGAGGAAGGGUGGGUUGGGGUGCAAUGAGGGGUUAGGGGUCAGAGAGAGAGAGAGAGAGAAAGGCCAUUUAAAGGGAAAAUGAGACGACGUUGAGGGGAGGGAGUAACAUUUGAGACGGAGUGGGAGAAUGGGGGGUAAAGUGAGGAAAGUUGAGUUCCUGGUAGUUAAGUAAGAGCGAACUCGAGUUCUAGAGGUGAAACAGUAAAUAAGUCAAAUAUUUAAGUCUUAAGAUUUCGUUACAUUUGUUGAUGGUGAGAUUGACCUCCUCAAAUAGCCUCCUCACUUUAAACUCCUCAUUAUAGCCUCCUUGAUAUCAAACAAGGUCUUAAAAAUUUCAACAUCAUUUUUCGCUGAACCAGUGAAUGCCUGGGGCAUUUUAGGACUGCCUCGCGUUGAAAAUUUUGCUUUCUUACUUUUUUUAUUCUUAUUUUUAUAAAUUUUAUUCAAAAUUAACAGUGUUAUAGAGGUGAAGGUUAUAUGGGAGGACAAGUGUAAAAAUAAAAUAAUAAAAUAAUAAUAAUUAAAAAAAAGGGUGGACAAACAAAAUGGGCACAGGAGAAUUGAACUCAUACAAGCUUUUGUAGCUUGUGUAAAAGCUCUCUGUUUGAAGAAACCCUUACAUGAAAUAGGGAUAACACUAGUUUGCUAUCCUCGACCAAUCAUGUUAUGCCACACGUAAUAACUUUUUUACGUAGCAGUCUGUGAUUGGCCGAAAAUAGCGAACUAGUGUUAUCCCCGUUUCAUACAAGUUUUUCUACUUUGUUUGAGUAGAAGAAGAUAAAAGGGUUCCUUUCCCCCCCAAGGUCCUCUCCUCUGGUACUUCGAGUUUGUACAUUUGAGGCUAGGGUUGAUGACAUAACAUCCUAAAGUAAAGUUUAGUUUUUUUUUUCCUUUUUUUUUUUUUUUCAGGAGAUAGAGUACAAACUAGUAACUUACAACAAGAAGCUACGUGCCACACAUCACAUCCAAAAUAAAACAUAACAUAACAACAUAACACAAAUAAAAAUGAGACAACCCUUUGCUGAACAAGACACCACACCACAAAAUGCACCAUGAUAAUGUAUCCGAUGAGAAAGUCCAGGUAUCUUCGAAUAACCAUCUACCCAGCUUAAUUUGUUGGAGGACAUGAGAGGUCAUCGUUAUUCAAAACAUGCACAAGAGACAUGGGGGGUCAUCGAUUUUUUUUCAUGCCAUCUCUUCAUCAGUUACCGUAAUGGCAAAUAGGUUCUCUUUAACCCAAACAAUCUUUGCUUCACCAUAUUUUUUCCAAGCAGCUUUGAGGAUGGUCUUGAUUGCCUUUUGUUUGGGUGCUUCUGAGCGAUUACCACCCCAACCAAUUGUAAGCCCUCCUCCAUAUUAUAUAUCUCUAGUGACUCCUCCAAUUGCUUAAUGAGCUGGUCUUCUGUUGGACGUGCAAGCUCACCACUACAUGGUCCACUUCUUCUACUUUCACUCAUGAUUUGGUCAGGGGACAUGCUGUGGAUGGAAAUAGGAUCUUGUGGCAGUAUUUUGGGUAUUUUCCGGGUCGUGUUUAAGUUUGAUGGAGCGUAGGUGGAUCUAGUCUUUGAAAGUCUGGUAUAAAAAGCAAAUGAGUAUAUAGGCGCAGGGAACACCAGCUAAAUCUCCUCAUGUUUAAUUCCGUUGGUUCUAAGUUGGUAGAGAUUAUUAAUGCAGACAUCCUAAAAACCCGAAGGAACUUCAAGAUUUAGAGGAUAAAUGAAGCAGGUAAGGAGUAAUAGGAGCACAGUAUGUCAUGGGGAUUUUGAUUAGAUUGGAUGCAAGAUUUUCCCUAGAUCAAGUAUUAAAUCUGUAAGGGUUGUCGAUCGAGAUAUGGGUUAAGGCGGUGGUUGUGAUGGAGUAAUGAAUCACCAGUACAAAUACGAAGAAGAGGAACUCCCACGAGAAGAGAAGAGAGGAUGUUUUGUUUUGUUUGUCACUUUCUGUUUGAAAAUUAUAUAUAUUUUUUAAUUAAAAGAAAUUGCCGUCAACAAUUGUGUUUUGUGCAAAGGGCCUUUUUUUUGCAUCCGGAUCCAUGGUUGUGGAUUAUAAUUUAAUCUAAACACUAGAAUUAGAACGACAUAUAUGAAGCUUUCUAUCUGAAAAUUCGAAUGUAAAUUCUAAAUUAUCGUCAAUACAAAUAGUUAAGAAUCACUUCUAUUUUUAAAGGGUAUGGGCUACUUAUAGUCUAAAUUAUCAUAAAUUAAUUUUAUAUAUAUAUAUAUGGGGGUUAAGAUCCGAGGACGCACAAAAAAACACAUUUUUAACCCUAGAUGAUUCACCAUGCAUACAAUGACUCAAAAUGCAUAAGUCACUAUUGUUUUUAAACUAAAAAAAACCAAUAUUCUAUUUUUACUUUUUAAAAACAUGCAGCAAUCAUUACUUCAAUUUCUCCCUCCUCACAUGUACCUCUUCAUUUCUAUUGCUAUUCCUUGCACAGAUUUCUUCCUUCCACAAACAACUCUCUCCCACUCCAUUAUUCUCUUAUGUCUUCAUCUCUUCCUUAAGUUUCUUCAUCAUUUCUUGUUGGACUUGUCGGAAAAGUGAAACCAUUGUAAUGUCGGAAGCUUCUUCACCAUUAGUUGUGGAGUCAUCACGCACCUCUAGCCCUCAUCUCCGUCAGGUUAGAACCAUUAUGUGUUUAGUGUCAAUAGCUCUUUUGCAUGCAUAUUGUCUUCUUCUUUAUUUAUUUAUUAAUUUGAAUCACAUAAAUUACACCACUUGAAUUGGUGUCCUCCUUUCAUUUAUUGCAUCAAUUCAUUAUGAAUUGGUAUUAUUAAAUUUAAGUCGAGAGUUAAAUUAGUGGUACUCUUAAAUUAUAAAUCAGUGAGAUGGCAAAAAUAAAAUAAAAUAAAUUAGACUGGAGCAACGGAUGAAUAUUAUUAUUUUUGUUUUUUUUGCCAAAAAAAAAAAAAAAAAACCAAAGCCUAAGAUAAUUGCGUAGCAAAAAGAGUAACUGAAGAGAAGAAUAAAAGUGACGGGUUUUGUGAAAGCCAAACUGAAGUACCGAAGAGUCUUAGAUGCAAAACAAAUGUCUUUGUAUUUUCAAGAAUGUAAGUAAAGAGGAGAGAGAGUUGGAAAAGGUAAAUCAUGUGGUUGGUUGAUGAAAGAAUAUUGUUUUCCUUUUUAAAUAAUAUCAUAUGCAUUUUGAGUCAUUAGAUGGCGAAUCAUCUAAGGAUUAAAAAAGUGUGUAUAAAUAUGUGAUUUUUUGUGUUCCCUGAUUUUGACUCUAUAAAAAUAUAUAUAUAUAUAUAAAUAUGUGAUUUUUUGUGUUUUCUGAUUUUUUGUGUGGUACCGGCCUAAGGCUCUCCGAUGCUUUAGUAAGUACGGUUUUAGUAAUGUUAACUGACAGAUCAAUCGGUAGCGUACCGUUCGUUCUCCUCCCUUCCUUUUGGGGAUAGGGGUCUUCUUAUAUAGGCCUUGGGAGGUGUGCACUGUGCUCAUAUUUCCGAUGUGGGACUGUGGAUGCGAAUUGUGAGUAUGACACGUGUCCGGUAGUAAAAGGGUCAAAAUGGACGGCUUCGGUAGGCAAAGUGCCGAAGGGUUUCUGCAGCCAAUAUCGAUUCUGUCCACGUGUUCGGUGGUCAUAGGUCAUUUAUUUCCGGUAUAAACAAUAUAUAUAUAUAGCAAAUUUGAAUUUGGGUACAAGAGGAUGGAUGCUAAACUCUAAUCAAUUGGCGUACUAUUCCCUCUUUAUUUUGUUGACCCCAGGAGGAGAGAAUGGGACCAAGCACACUAGGAAUAAUGUUCUGGACUCUCCUUUGUUGGAUCAAGUUGACAAGAGUUUGUUUAAGGCCCAAGUAAUAGGCCUUGAAAUGAUCCAAUUUGUAUUUGCCAUAGGUGUACCACUGUUGGAGCUUGGCUCAACCCAAUAGAAAUAAGAUUAUUUGAUCAAGGAUAUGCAUUUAGUGAUUUGCGCAUUAUAAUCUAACUUUUAAUCAAGUCAUUGUGCUAUGAAUGGGGAACUGGCUUAGAUUAGUUAUGUUCUAUGCCUUGUAUGACUUAAGGACUUUUUAAAUUCUACUUUUAUAAGCUGGUACAGGUGAAAUCCUGAAGAAUUAGCCCCUGAUUAGGCUAGAGAUGUCCUAAUCGGGCUAGAUAUAAGUAGAUCAAAUUGCAAAGUAUGGAGCCAAUUUCUAGCUUUUUUCAAUCUGAUAUGAGGGAAAACAAGUAAUAAAUGCUAAAUAAACACUUUUAAACUUAAAUUCAAUUGGAAGACAUGAUUUGGAACUUAAGAUUUCUCUACUCAUUUCAUUAUCAAUGCAAACUUAAAGUAAAAUGACAGGAAAACAACUCAGAAUUGAGGAUUUCUUGAUUUAAUUCAUUGCAGUCAUAAAUUUGAAUGUAAACAAACAAGUAAAUCUGAUAAAUUGAAGUACUAUUGCUUAAAAUGAACAAAGCCUAGCCACUAGGAGUCGAUACCAAGUGUUGGCAGAGCAAUAAACUAAAAAAUAUAACUCAGGAGUUGUCAACUGGAUCUCUUGGUGCAAGAGAGGUUUGUUGAGUUCAACGAGAUCAAGUCUUGACCGAGUGUGAAGUUUGUUUAUGAGAGAAAAGCUAUGUGUUGAGAGUUGUGCUAUGCAUCUAUUUAUAGGCUCCUCGGUUCUUGAAUUUGCAUGCUUGGUGAAAACAUGGUUGAGUAUGUAUCAUUUCUUUCUUUGCGAUUAAAAAUGGUGAACCAUUACAUUGAUUUCUGCACCGUCGAUGGUGGCUUGUCCCAACAUGGCAUUUUCUUCAACCAAUUGGUGUAGUAUACCUUCAUGGUUCAAAUCGCAUUUAAUGCGGUUGCUCAACCUUUCCCUUCAUUGUUUAACUUUUCCUAGCUGUCAAAGUCAACUUUGAGUUUUAACCUGGAUAAUCGCACCAUUAACCGGGUAAAAGCAAUUUUGAGUUAUAAACAAUGGCUUUAUUUUGGAAAAUUAGAAAUAUUGGGCCUGCUUGACCUUGGGCCUAUACCUCUAGGUAUUUAAUUCUAUGAAUUCGAGCAGCCUAAGGCCCAUUAUGAUUUAAAAUCCAUAAAAGGGUUUUUUUUUUUCCAUUUUCAGCCCAAACAAUUUCUCUUUUCUUUUCUUCCAAAUUAUGUUUUGUUUUAGCUCUGAGUGGCAUUGGACCCGGAUGAGAAAAGAACAAGCUCUUCUUUGAGAAAAGAAUAUUAUACAAGCAAAGCAAAGCAUAGUUAAAGUAAGAAAUAAGUUCCCAAUAUUGUAAUUAAAUUUCUUGCAAGCCCCUUGUGAAACAAGUUAAAAGGAUAUUAGGCCUUUCAAAGGUCCCCUGAAAUUCAGCCACUGCUGAUUUUAUGUGAAAAUAAGUUACAUGAAAUUUUUUACUGCCAGCUAAAGAAGCAUAUACUUGGCAAGCUUUUAUGACUGAUAUGAGGAUUUAUCUCACAGCAUCCAUCCAGGGAUGAAACCGUUGACUUGUUGGGCAUGAGUUGUGGCACUCAUCUGCUCUGACCCCACAUUAGAGUACCUGCAAAUUCAAAGUUAAUCAAUUAGGAUAUAUAUGGCUAUUAAUCAAGUUUAAAACACACUAAUUAAGAUUAAUUACUUAAAAAUUACAUCUUUACCCUAUUUGCAAGGUGGGAUUGCAAUCCAAGGGCUGGAAGAACCCUUGAGAUUGAGCAUGCUGGCUCCCAUAUGCCAUACCCCCCUGGUUUCCACCUUCCCAUGAUUGUCUAAUUUGGUUUCUUGAACUAAUGUCAUCCAACUGCAAUAUGGUAAUAAAAUUCAAUGUAUUAUGUAAAUUGGUUCUAUGUUUUUCAUGGUUUUGUUUUGAAAUUACCUUCAAUGACAAAUCCCUGUUUGCUUCUAUUAACAUUUGUUCCUGUAAUUAGAACAAGUUAAUUAAUAUUAUAACCACAUGAAAUUGCAAUGCCUUGAUGAUAUCUUCAAGACAUGGAGGCAGAUUUAUAUAUGUGUACCUUAUUUUGAAGGUCAGAAAGUUGGUCCAGCAUAUACUGAGUCUGCAUAACAAGAUGAGAUAACAAUUAAUGCAGCAACAUCUGCAUGUAAAUGUAAAUGAUUGAAGUUGACAUGUUACCUUAGUGGACCUAACUUGCUUCAAGGAGGACUCCAGUUGACGCUCAAGCUGCUCAAGCUCCUUUGUGUUUAAGGGACCCAAGUCUUCUCCAAGAAGGUUUCUACAGAAUUUAUAAGGAGAAAUGAUUAAUGAGUUACCUAAUCAAGUCAGCUAAUUCUAUAAUUUACAAAGUAAGUACCUCUGAGUUCGUUGUAGGGACUCAAAUCGACCUUUCAGUUUCAAGUACUCGCGGUAGCUGCUCUGCUACGCAUGAACCGAAACGAAAAUGUAUUAGCCGCAUUCUAUUAUAUGAUCAUCUAUAAGCCACAUUCCAAAAGCAAAGUAAAAGUUUAUAUAUAUAAUUUGGCAAAGUAGCAAUUUAGGUGCUACCUCAAGUUCCUUGGCAGGUUUGUUGACUUCCACUUGACCAUAACUGCACUUCUGGUACCUUUCCAGUGUUUUGAGUAUGCUGCUGAAGAAGAAGACGCAGGGCAAUAGCAAAAGGAAAAAGAAAAAAGAAAAAAGAGCCAAUUAGGAUACUACUGAAAAUGAAUUAAAGAUUCAAAAUUUUAUGUAUGAGAAGAACAUUAUUAAACUUCUUCUUUCUGCCUUGCACUUUACUUUGCAGAAUCUGCAGACCUUAAAUUCUGAAGGCUGACCAAUUUAUGAAGCCUACUCAAUCUAUGGUUGUUGCUUUAAAAUUAGGAAACCCUACCCUAUAUGGCACUUUAGGAACAUCUAUAACCACAUGUUGUAGAACUAUUUUCCCACCAAAAGACACCUAUAUCCAAAAUACCACUAGCCAAUUGACAAAUGAUUGCAUAAAGUAUAUAUAUAUAUUCACUAAAAUAAACAUUCAUACUCCAAUUUAUACUUACAAGCAAUAGCUGAAGAGAAUUAAAAGUUUUGAAAAAUGAUACUCUAAAAAGAAAAGUUUUUACAUGACACAAUAAGAACAAGCUAGUUGAUUUCCAUGCUUCGAUGGAAGCAACAACUAGUGAUAAAGAAUCGAUUUCCAACUCCUUUUUUGUACAUUAAACAAGAAGAGGUCAUAUUGUAGAGAGUAGAGUACUCCAUCACAUAAACCAUUCAAUGUCAAACAACAAAUCGAGGAAUUUGCUCAUCUUACUCGAGAAGGGUUUAAAAUUUUGUACAUUAAACAAGGAGAGGUGUCAUGAUAGGCAAUUUUAUGCAUUAUGUUUUCUAAUUACUUCUGGAUGCAUUCAAGCAAGAUUAUACAUGUCGAUGAAUUAAAACUUACAUAUCAAACAAGGGGAAUUCUCCAAUAAGUAUUUAGGUUAAAGAUUAAAAGUUACAUAUUGUUAAUUUUGGCCGUCGGAUUGCAUUCAUUAGAUGUGUUGGUAGAUUUAAUAUGCAACAUACAUGCAAUUCAAAUGUCGAGAUUAGAAAUAUGUAACCAAUCCUUAACAUAAAAUACUUAUUGGAGAAUCUCUCAUCAAACAAUUUGACAAUAACAUUUUUCUCUACAUCCUAAUUACAAGAAAACAUAAACCCAAAAAAUCUUAUUUUAGUAUUAGAGUAAAUGGAUUUAUGUUAGUAGUCAUCAUUUCAGUUAAGCCAAACAAAAGAAUUAUAUUAAAAGAAAAAGAUAAUGACAAGCAAAUUAAUUGAUCGUAAACAUCACCACAGCUAUGCUUGUCACUCGUAUAUUCGUGAAACUCUCUUUCCUUGAACCAAGUUCAUGACUCUGACAGCUCUAACAAUUCAUGAUUUCCCUUUCAUAUAUAUUGAUGCAACAAAAGUUCACUAAUUCUCAAGAAACUUCAAUCUUUUGCAUUUCAAAUUUGUAAACGAUCUGUUGCAUUAGACCUGUUCAAUCCCGACUUCGUGGUUAUGGUUGGCUUAUGCUUAUCAAACAUGUCAAAACCCUAGAAUGUUGGCUCAUAUGCACAAUCAAAAGUAUAAUUUACAUAUAACAAUAAACAAAGAAAAAAAACUGAACAAAUCUUGAAUGCAACAAAUGGUUCACCACACACUUUUCUUUAAGAAGUGGCCAAGCAAAAAGAAAAAAACUUUUUUUCCAAGUAGUUCAUGAUUUGAAAGAAGUCACUGGUUGUCCGCUGUAUAAUAGAUAGGGUUUUUUUCAUUGAUAAAUGUGUCAAUUUUAUACGGAUUUCAGACCAAGACAAUCAGAAGAAGGAACUUUAAAUUCUCUAGCCAUGCCAUCGAACUCCGAGUCCGAAAUUCUAUACCAAAAGAAAUAUAGGAUCAUCAUGAUCUCAGGCUUUUGAUACUCACACACACCUUUGCAACCAAUCCGCCAAUUCUAUCUUUCACUCAAUCCAUUCACACAAAGGGAACCAGAACAAGUUAGUGCAAAAGAUAAUUAAGUUUAUAACUCUUAAUUUGUAUCUAAUUAUAUAAAUUUUAAUUCUAAAGUAGGCAAAGGGGAGAAAUCAAAGGCAAUAUUUUUUUAGCUACCAAAAACAAAAGGGACAAUAUUUUCUGUCCAUGAAGAACCAUAUAUUUACUAGGGGAAAAAAACUCCAAAGAGAAAAAGAAUGGGAAUCCUUGUGAUUCAGAUCCAGUAAUGCAAGAUUUAGUACCCAAAAAAUUUGAACAAAAUAUCACUUUGUGAAAUCAGAUAAUAAUAGAAUUAGAUGAACAUCCAACUUUUUUUUUUCUUUUUUUUUGAAGCUUCAAUAAAUCACAAGGGGAAAAGAAGAAGAAAUGGAAAUUAAAAUAUGCAUCAUCAUGAGUAAUUAAUAUUUCCAACAUAGCUUUAAAAAUUAAAUUGAACAAAAAAGAGAGAAACUUUGUGAUAAGCUUUUGCACUUGUGGAAGCAAAGAUCUCAUAUGGAUCCCAAUGAAACCCAUGAAGAAAUAAAGAAUUUAUAUCAUCAGCCUUAUGAAAUGAAUUAAUCAAACCAAAAAGAGAGAAACUUUGUAUAUGAAAGAUGCAAGCUUGAACUUGUAAAAGUAAGAUCAUAUGGAUCCCAAAAACCCCCAUGAAGAAAUCAAAGAAACUAGAGAGUAUAAUUAAACAGAUCCAACUCAUAUAAAUCUAGAAAGAAGAGAUGAGAUGAGAGAGAGUGAGUGAGUGAAUGAUGUGUGUUGAGUAACUAAAAUUUACCUAGAGCUGCUACAGAACUCAUAGAGCUUGCCACGGUUAGAGAAGAUGAUGAGAGCAACCUCAGCAUCACAGAGAAUAGAGAGCUCAUAGGCUUUCUUCAGAAGCCCAUUUCUUCUCUUUGCAAAUGUGACUUGCCUGUUUAUCUUGUUCUCUAUCCUCUUGAGUUCCACUCUUCCCCUCCCCAUGUCCUUGCCAGCUAAAAUAUUAUCCACCCAAUCAACCACACACACACCCCUUUUAAUUUUCUUUCCCUUUUUUAUAUAUUUUAAUUUCUUUUUUUCUAUAUAUCAAAGUUUUGAUCUCCACAAUAUUUUCUUUCCCUUUUCUUGUUCUUCUCUCUCUCUUUGGUACAAGCUGAUCCUCCUUUUCUAUGUCAGUACCAAACUGUAACCAAAUUUGUGUAAAACAAGAGAAAGUUAGAUACUCACUCAGUGGAAAACCCUAAAGAAAGAUAAGAGAGAGAGAGAGAGAGAGAGAGAAAGAGAAAGAUCAGAGCUUGUCUUGUAGCUUAGAGUUUAAGUUCUCUCUCCUGAGUUUUGGCUUUUAACCUGAGGUUCUAAAUCUACACCCAGAAACUCUGAAAUGAAAUUUAGGGUUGGUGUUCUUUCUAGUUUCGUAUAAAAUCUUUUCUUUUCUUUCUUUUGUACUGUUUCUUUGUGCUGAGAGAGAACUCAACAACCAAUCACAGCUUGAGCGCGUUUGGCUUUGUCUGUAUGUCUCCAUAUCUCCAUUUAUUACUUACUGUGUCUUCCUAACUCAACAAGACUUUUUUUCUGAAAGUGAAAAUUCACGUCUACUUUUUGCCAAAUUAUAUGCAUCAAUUCAUAAAUUUUGCAUCAUGUCAUAUUCAAGCUAAAUUCAUUUCAUCAAAAAAAAUAUAUGUAUCUGAAAAUAUAUUUAUGCUAUCUAAUAUUGCGCGCAGUCUGGCGCGUGGUAAUUUGUAAUUGUUUGACAUAAAUACUUAAUAAAUAAGAGGCUUGUAUGAUAUACUGUCCUCGUAAGUAGCAGAACGUCCUCACCUACCUUAAAACAGAUCUCCACGUGUUUGUUCUUCACUGGCUUAAUCUUUCUUUUGAGAAAAAAAACCGCCCUAAAUAAAAUAGAAAAAUAUUUGUGAGACUAAGUUCCUGCAACAUUACUAGUUUUUAUCAAAAAUAGCUAAAAUUUACCUCCUACUUUCAUAAAUGUCAAUUUUUAUAAAAACUUUCAAAAAAUAGCAAAAAAAAACUCACUUAAAAAAACUCAAAUGCCCUCAAAACUAAAACCCACAUCAAUCUAAAAAGCAAAGCCUACAUCUCUGUUUUCAAUUUGAUUUCAAAAAUAAAAACAAAGUUUCAAUCAAUUAUAUCAUUGGAGGAUUGAACCAUGAAUAUGAUUUCCAACUUGUAAACUCCCCUAUGUUUCGAUCAAUGUUAUAUCAUUGGAACAGGAAGGUACCAUCGAAGCAAUUAGAAGGGCAUCAUCAAACACGGGACUUUGAGCAAACAUAUGGUGAUCAUGAUUCAAAUAACUUAUGCUUGUACCAGCAGUUGUACUGCUAUACAACUCAGUGAAAGAUAUAUAGGCUUGGGGCCAAUGUAGGGAAGCUUCAUGGUUCAAGUCCUUCAAUGAUAUAACAUUGAUCGAAACAUAUAGGGGAGAUUAUAUGUUGAAAAUCAAAUGAAAACAAAGAUUGCAGGUUUUAUUUUUUGGGAGCUUUAGUUUUAAGAUACAAUAUAGGUUUACGUGGCUUUAGUUUUGAGGGCAUUUGAGUCUAUUUAAGUGAGUUUUUUGCUAUUUUUGAAAGAAAAAAAAUUUUAAACUGACAUUUAUGAAAAUAAGGGGUAAAAUUUGGCUAUUUUUGAUAAAAACUUCAAUAUUACAUAAUUUAGCGGGAAAGAAAAAAAAAACAGUAUAACUAAAAAUAAUAUAAAAGGCAUGGGUUAGUUCAAGUAGCGGUAUAAGAGCCGUUACCUUUGCACUUGAGGUAUUGUGUUCGGCAUCCCACCUCCCUCAAUAUCACGUGUAUAAAAAUAUAUAUAACUUAAUUAUGGCUAAAGCGAUCAAGGUUUAUGUGUGUAUAAUACAAAUUACGAAUUGUCCAUGAGUUUUAGCUCAAGCGGCUUUCAAAUAAAUAGAUUUACAUCUAGGGAUCCUCGUUUCAAGUGUUGCUUAUAAAUUUAUAGUUGUAAUGUUUUUGGUCUGAGAAGAUCAAUGCAAUACUUCUGAGCUAGAAUGUAACCCCAAACAAAGUAUAACUACACAAAUGUAAAAGACAAUAACCAGUUUGAACCAGUAUGUUUAGAUAUUGAAAGAUCCAUUUCAAGAAAAAGAAAGGAAAAAAGUCUUCGAAAUCGUACUUAACCUAACCAUUAGCCUUAUGUUAUGUAUAUAUACAUACAUACAUACAUAUAUUUAUAUGUACAUAGUUAUGGCAGAUCCUCAUCCAAGGACUGGCAUUGAUUGUAUGAAAUUAAAAAGUACGAUCAAGAUGAAGAGUCCACAAGAUGCAUAAAUAGAAUGCCAAGGAUUAGUUAAGUUGUGAUGCUACAAAGCCAUAAAUGUUGCAUUGCUUGGACCAGAGGGCAAACCACUUGAGCUGAUACAAAAAGAAAAGGGCAUAUUCACAUUGUGUGGUCAAGGAAGAAAAAGCAUGUACUCGAGAAUGGGUGGUUUGGUCAAUUCACCACCAUAUUGCCCUAUGAGUAACACAACCCAUAUGGGGGGGUAGAAUAAUAAUCCAAUACCAAAACUGGAAAAAGAUGUAUGAUUUUCUUUCAAGCACUGCGCCAACUGAUGGAACAUAUAAGGCAUAUGUGUUCAAUGUGACGCAAUGUCUGCGGCCACAACAAAGAAGAAAUGGAAGAAAAAAUAGGGGUAGGUGGUGGGAGAGAUAUAUUUUUCUUGCGAUGGGUAGGUUUGAGAAAUUAGAUUAGAUCAGUUUUUCGAAUCAAGAAUAAUAUUUGCAUUUUGAGAGGUCCAUGAGUCCCCACCACUCCCUAUCACAAUGGGUUGAUUGCUACACAAGGGGGCAAAAAUGUCAUAGGAAAUAUAUUAUCUUCCUCUCAAGCCUCUGCAACUAAGAUUAUAUGUUUAAAUUCCCCUUCCCGACUAUUGCUUGUAUUAAAAAAAUUUCUAUAUAUAACUCUUCUAGAAAUACCUCAUCUUUCGCAUAAUGUAUGUUUUUUCAUAGGAUACAUAAUAAGCACAAUAUUAGCACCUAAUUAAGAAAAAAUUAACCUAAGUGAGCUAAAAUAUCAGCAACGGAGGUAUAUUUAUAAAAGUUGGUGACAUGACUCAAUGUUUGUUUCGAAAGGAAUACAUAUGGAGUUAAAGAAAGGCUAGUGUUUGGUAAGCUAGGAGGAGGAGGACGGAUAUUUGAAGUUCCAUGCUUGGCCAUGGGUAUAUAUGUAUCAUAUGAUUAAAGAUGCAUGAGCACAAUUAUUCAAUGGACCCCACCCUAAAUUAUUCCUCAUUAAUUUAUCGUGGAAUAUAUGAAUGAUUUGACCCCCUCCUCCAAAGACUAUAUUUAUGUCCACCGUUGCUUCAAAACUUAGACCCUGCCUAAUAAUAAGCAUUAAUCCAGUUUAAGUAAAAUGUUGGUCAAAUAUAACCUAAUAUUUUGUAAACAUGUGUUGUCGGAUUGUUAAUCCUGUUUUUAAGUUAGCCCACAUGUUAAUGCAUUUUUACUUAAUCGUUUUUUUUCAUAUAAGCGAUUUCAAACACAAACGUAACUUUUCUCUAACCACUUAAAUUAUAAAUCUCUUAUAAUUUUAAGUUAGUCCUUAAUGUAAACUAACAAUAACCAAAUGCAAUUAAAUUAAAGUUGAGAAUUUUGUGCGUAAAGUUUAUUAUUUGAGAAAAGAAAUUGAGUUCCUAAAAGAUAGUGAUGAUGCGCCCAAGCAAAAGCCAAAUCGAACUUAAACCAGUUAAACACGCGUUUCCAUAGGAAGAUCGUUUUAUGUUUCGAGUGUCCGUUAGUUUUAGAGGAGAAACGCUGUUUUCCAAGUCCAAAGUUACUGCUUUAGUGUCAAAGCAGCACUCUUCCACCUAUGUGUCGAUCAGGGAUUGGGGGUUCAGAACAGUGCCAGGUGACGGACAUGAUUGAUUGCAAAACCUUGGCCAGGCGUCCGUACACUCCCAACGGCGUUUACCUGGAAUAGUGAAAGACCCUGCAAGUACACGUGUCGCGAAAUGACAACGGAAAUAAGACUAAUUGAUGUUUUCGCAAUCGGACGUCUUAUCGGACGCGUGCUGGGAAAAGCAACUCCUUUGCCUCUUUGAUUAUUAUGGCACUCAGGUCUAUUGGUAUACGGUAAACUAGCAAUUUUUAUUUUUAUUUUUAAAAGAAAAGUAUUUCAAAAAAAUCCGCGAUGGAUUUGAUGACCGUACAAAUCAAAGUUAAUUCGAUAAUUAAUACUCAUAAGAAAAUGAUGAAAAAUAUUAUAAAGAAGAUCCGCUACCAUAUUAGCUUCUCGAUAAAUAUGCUAAAAAGAGACAUGAGUAUAAUUUUGUAGCAAGUACCAAAUACCGUGCGUAUGAUUGAUUAUUCGAAUUGCCUGAGGAGCUGGGAUUUGUUUCUUGAGAAUUCGAAUUAGAAUCUUGGAAUUCCCUUCAAUUUCAUAAUACUUUAGAUGCAAUCGAGUAGUUUUCAUUAAUUGAGGAGCACUACAUUGCCAUUGCCAUGGCCAUGGCAGUAAGUAAGACUCUAGAUUUUAUUUCUAUAGUCUUUUGAAGUAAUUUCAUACCAAGAUAAAUUUUGCACGGAAAGUGAAUGAAGGUGUAUGGGGUGAAUAAGAUAAAUAAUGAAAUUAGAAAAACUUUGAUUUCUUUUCUUUUUGUAUCCCGUUUAUUUAGUAAUUCAUUUGGAUUUAACCUUCACUUCCUCAUAGAGAUUUAUUUCACCUUCACCUCCUCCUCGUAGAGAUUUCAAGGGUUAGGGUAUUUAUUUCCUGACCAAAAUUUACAGAAGAAAUAUGUAAUUUUGUUCCGAUAUCGUUGGAAUAGUAGCUUUCACCGAUCAAGACUUUGCACCUAAACCUGAUCAACAUUGCAUAUAGCAGGGGCUUACCAAAUGCAUUCAACUAGUGCAGGAUUAUCAUAUCAGUGAAUUUAGUCAAAUUGGGCAAUCCAAUGAAUUGAAUUCACAGCUGCUCCAUGCACCAAACAACAGGCAAUAGCUGAUUCAUGGUGCCUUGUCACUUCGCAACAUCUCUGAGUUCCUACAGGGUCCCUCGUUUGGAAAUGCAGCAUAGCACAAAUGAGAUUGAGAUUUGAUUUUUCCAACUAACAAAUGGUGCUGUGCUUUAAAGCUUUGCCACAAUACAACUCAGUAGAUAUAAGUUAAGAGGCUUUCUUUUUGGGGUAUGUAUGUCUCACAGGUCCACUUCAAGUUCAAGGGUUGUUGCUAUGUGUGUGCAAAUUUCAGAAUCUUAGAGGCAUUUUGUCAAACCACAGCCACAUGUAGUAUAAGUUUGUUACAGAGGGUAGGUUUCAGAAAUAUGAACCCCCCGCAGCCCCCCCGAAAGCUCAGCCACAUUUUUACGUCUACUCUGCCUAUGAUGUGUGGAAGUAAAAAUGGUGACCACUUACCAUGGUAGGAGGGAAAAUCACUACCAGUUUUGAGAUCAUUUUUUCUAUUUCUUCCAACUAAUGCUCACAUUCAAUACAUAUACUAAGUGCUAUAAAGUUUGUAUGAGAAAGGGAUAACGCGUGCUAACCUGGUAUCCAUUCAAAGAACCUUUUUAUGAAUUUCAAAGGGUAUAUAUACUUUCCUACUGAGUUGCUAUCUUUGGCAAAAGCUUCCUUUUUACUACGACUCCAGUAAGGACCACUGACUGAUCUAGAUCUCUUCCAGCUCGCAAGUCGCUUCUUAGUAAUUUCGCAUAAAUAUCCAACAAAAGUUAUCUACCAUUUCGUCUUACAACACAGCACAUCUUAUAGCCUAAAGUUAAGCAGAUAUUUCCUAGCUCAAACUCAAGAGACGUAUGAUGCUACUCCUAAUCAAAAACCAAAUUGACUGGAAAACUCAUAUCACAUUAAACAUGCAACAGAAGGAACACCUUCAGCAAAUAUAAGCCACUAUAUCUACUGACCACAUAAGAAAUCAAUAACAGAGGCCGCCGGAGGGGAGAGGGGAUGCUUUUCGUCUGACCCUUAAAUGAAUUCUGUAUGAGGCCCCCUGACUUCUUGUGUAUAGGGUAUCAAAUCAUAUUCAAGCAUAAGCAUAACAUCAGAUUUACCAAGGAUGAAUAUGAUUCAAUUUGGGGAUUCAUCUUGCUAGGGAGCAGGGUAAUAAAUAUGCAGUCUCUAGAAUUGACAUGGAUGGCAAACUAUCCAUGUAUUACAUUAUCUGUGAUAUCAACAUAAAAACGAUUUUGUAAUGUAUAUAUCUCUACUGUCUAAAGUGGGUUCAUAAACUUCCUUGCUCUAUAUCAUGGGACAUUGAUAAAUCAUUUUAAGAUAGCACAACUAGCGUAAGAAAAUUUUAAUUUAGAUGACUAAAACAAACUCAAACAGAUGUUUUAGAGCAAUCAGGGCAGCUAAAAUGACCUCUAGCGUUACAGUUGGUGCAAGAAAUGGAUCUUACUUUCGAAUCACUACCCCCAACCGAUUCAUAGAAGUCAUCAAUGAGAUUUAAACCAAACACUCCACCUUCUUUGAUUAAUCCAACUCCUUUGCAUCUUGAGCAUGCUAUCAUCCUCAGAUUGCCACAUCUCUUGCACAUUCCCAAAGAACUGAAUAUUCAAAGGAUUCAUUCAUAUACAGCACACAUAAAUCAGAAUGCACAAAUACAUAAUACACAAAUCCCACAAGCAAGUAGAAACUGAAACUGGAGUUUUGUUGAAUUGAAAUUGAUUUUUAACCCACAUGAAAAAAUUUCAUUACAAGGAUAUUUAUCCAAUUCUUUGAAACUAAUUACAACUUGAUGAAGAUAAUGGAGCUGAAAUGAACUCAAACAUUAGAAAGAGUCAAAGACAAGCCUUUUGUGAUGAAUUUUGGAAAUGGGUACUUACCUGCGCUGAGAGGCAGAGAUGAAAGCGUCGACCUUUGGGGCAGCAAUGGUGGCACAGAGGAGCAGAGCCCCAACUCCAAAACCCGCCAGCUCGCUUGCCGUUAUGUUAUUCAUUUUUGCUCUCUCUCUCUCUUUCUCUCUCUCUGUUUUCCUGUCCCAGCUCUUGCUGAUAACUGAUAUUAACCACCUUAUCUGAACUUUCAGAUUAUUUGUCGGUUAAUAUUCUUAUCGGGGCUCGAGAAACCAUCAACGGCCUAUUAGCUCAGCUGGUUAGAGCGUCGUGCUAAUAACGCGAAGGUCGCAGGUUCGAGACCUGCAUGGGCCAACUUUUUGUUUUGUUUUUCUUCGUGUCAUUUUGGUCAUUUCACCAUGGCCUAGGCUUUGUCAUGGGUUGAAAACUAUUGUCUUAGCGGGCUUGACCUACACAUUCCAAGUCCCAUCUCACGUUGUGUUAAAUGGCCCAUUUUUUGUCUCUUGGUAUUUUGGGAACCCAAAACUUAUUUUUAAUUCACUAAUUUACACGUAACCCACUUGCAUUUGUGUCUUGUUCAGUUGGCUAAGCAAAAGGAGGUGUAUAUGUCCUCUUCACAUAUGAUCUCGAUCUUCCUAUUCAUACAUUAGAGUAAUUAGAAUAUGGUUUUGUCAAAAAUUAAAAAAAAAACAUGUAACCUACUUAUUAGAGUAGUUAGAACAUCGUUUUGUCAAAAAGAAAAAAUAUAUAUAUAACCCACUUAUGUUCGAUUUUUGUUUUUCAAUGAAAACUAUUUGUUUUUAUGUCAUUGAUUGGUAAUUACGAUUCAAUUUCAUCACCAUCUAUCUUUUUACCAAUUCUUGUCAUCACCAUCAGUGAUAAAGGUUCUUGCACUGUGUGUAGCUUCACUAAUAUUUGAGUCCCGCUGCCAAUAGUUCUUAUUGGUGCACGAUCUGUAAUUUUCUAUAUAAAUUCAUAUCAAUAGCAGUUGGCAGUGAGAGUAGCCAAUCUCCUCCUGAACUUUUAUUCACCGAAAAAAAAACUCUAAGAAGCGGUAAGAUUUUGAGUCGCUUUGAAAUUUUAGGAACCAACCAUUUGCACGCAUAUCUCUCUCUAUGGUUGAUGGUAACGAAAAGAAAAUGUAAAAAAAAGAGUGGCCAUGACACAUAUAGCACACUAGACGUAAGUAGUUUAAAUAUACUAGGUUCCAUCCAAUUGAUGAAACGUAAUCACUUUAAUUUUAUAGUAUUCAACUUUCAAGUGCCUUUUCAUGGAUAUGCAUGAAUAUACGUCAGGCUCAGCUCUUUUAAUUAGUUUCAGGGUUAAACUCUUCUGCUACAUACAUAUUACUAUUGACUAGACGCCUCUCUUUCGCUUCAUCGAUCAAUCAGAAGAUGUUCUUGUCAAUCAUCUCCAGCCAUCAGCUUUCAACUUGGUCAUUGACUGGUCAAGAUUUGGUCACUUUAAAAGUCAAUCCCAGUCAAAAUUGGGAAAUUAGAUGUACAAAUAUUUGACCAAAAAAUUAUUAUAAUGGCUCUCAUUGCUCAUGCAAUUUUGAUUUCUCCAUUGUUGCAUGUAUGAAAUGAACAUGAGGGCAAUAUAAAGCCUGUCAAUCUGACUAUACAUAUGAAUGACAGCCAUUUUGACUUUGCAUAUCUAAAUCCUUUUGCAAUUCUCAAAGAUCUGCAGAAGCAUGAUUUCAUGUGUAGGAAAAGUUUAUGUAAAAUUGUCUGCUGAUCAAUUCAUGAAACUCUGUUCUCUUUCUCUUUGGGAACAUCUUUUUUUCUUAUGGAAAUUACAAAACAGCUUUGUUGAUGAUCACUUAUCCCAAACCAACUUAAUGGAUAUCUUUGUAGAUUGAUUGAUACAUGGCAAAUGCAAUGGAAAUACAUUGGUAUGAAUAAUAAUAAUAAUAAUAAUAAUAAUAAUAAUAAUAAUAAUAAUAAAAAGAAUAGAAAAGAGGGAUGAGCAUUUGGUUACACAAAUCUUAUUUAUUAUAUGUAAAUCAAAAUUAACAAUAGUGCAAGUACAAUAAUAAACCAACAUACAGAAGUUCAUAGAAUUAAUUAAUUAGGUAUUAUAAAAUAAUCUGGUACCAAUUAAUAGAUAAUAAAUCAGCCUUCUUAGAUUCUUAGAAGAUGUAGCCUCCAUUAUAGAAUGUGUAAGAGUGAUCCCCUCCAGAAGAGAAAGCUGUGACUGCUGCUUGAUUCUGCAUGGCUGAUUUGUUGCACUGGCUUAAGCUUGUGUUUCGAUCCAUUCGACCGUUUACAUGCUCAUCAUCUAAGUUCCAGAGGCGCCCCAUAUAUAAGCCUUCUUCUCCUAAUAUAUCCGCCCAAGACCCUACACUUCCUUGGUUCAUCAACGCAGGCAAGCAAUAUUGGUCCCCCUCCAAGUUGGGGUAGCUGCUGCUAAUAAGAUCCAUAUUAUUCUCUUGCCUUGCUUGUGCCUCAUGAUCAGUAGUCAUGUUAAUGUUUUCUCCUUGGCUUGCUUCCGAUUGUGGCGUGGCUCGUAUUUUCAGGUUUUGAUCUUCCUGCAGUUGUUGUUGUUGUUUUGCUAGAAGAAUUUGAGCUUUUCGUUUCUCUUGCUUUUGAGUGCAUUUCUCUUUCUUUUUGAAAUGAGUUCUCCAGAAGUUCUUUAUCUCAUUGUCUGUUCUUCCUGGCAAGUAUCUAGCAAUGGUAGACCAUCUGUAUACAAUAUUCAUUUCACAUAAUUAUUUAAUCUAGCUAGACUGCACAGACAGACAGACAAAGCACAGGACAUCAUUAUAUUGCUUACUUGUUACCCCAUAAAGCAUGCAAUUCAAUAAUGAUGCCUUCCUCCUGAGGUGUUAUAUGGCCUCUCUUUAAUCCAGGCCUAAGAUAAUUCACCCAUCUAAGUCUGCAACUUUUGCCACUCCUGUUCAAACCUGAAAAAAAAAAAUUAACCCCAACUGAGCUUUAAAAAAAACAACAUGAAAUUAUUAGAAGUUAAUUAAGAGAGUUUAAUUUAAUUACCUGCACACUUAGCCACACAACUCCAUCUUCCCUCUCCAUAUAAGUUGACAUAUUCAUUGAGCAGCUUGUCUUCCUCUGGUGUCCAAGGACCUUUCCUCCAUCCUUGUUGUUCUGCAAAUCCCCAACCCAUCAUUGUUACCAUCCUUCCUUUCCUUGGUUUCACUUCAAUUCAACCCAGCUGUUUGUUGUCUCUGUAUUCUUUGACACUUAUUGCACAAUGUGCAUGGCUAGUUACCUUCCCUCUAUAUAUAUGCAUGACAUAUAUAUAUCUCCUCCUACCUCUGAAACAGUGACUCUUUUAAUAUUGUUUUCUUUGAUGAUCUCAGUCAAGAUCUUUGAAUCGAAUCUAUGCUUCAGUCUCUCAUCAUAUCAAGAAAUUGACCUUUCCAUCUACAAAUCUGAGUCCAAGUGUUGAGAUAUGGUGUGUCAACCAGCUCAAUAUACUUUCAAACAAUCAGACCACAACAGGUGUGCCUUCCCACUCCUAGUUGCCAUACACAAUGACGUCACCAUCAAUAUUAUUCCCUCUGCAUAUAUAAAAUACAACACAAACAAGCCACAUUGUGUUCCAUUGUUUUAUUUUUCUUGAUGGUGAAAUUAAUCUGUCAUUGUUGAGAUUAGUGGGUUGUUGAUGUCUCCUUCGAAAGUGCCUUUGAUCCAACUGGUGUGUAACAUCUGUGGCAAAAGUAUUGCACGAUUGAUUAGCAUUGUUUAUGGUUAAUGACAUCUAUUAAUUAAAUUUUUUAAGCACAGAGAAGUUUCUAGCAUUCCAUUUGUGGUAAUGGGGCACAUAAAGUUUUGAAAGGGCCUUGAUGAGUCACCUAUCCUACACCUGGCUCUUGGACUCUAUCUAACUAGCUUAUUUGGAAAGUUGGGAAGUGCUUAAUUGGUUUAACUGAUUUUUUAAAAAGCAUUCUAUGCCUAUAUAUAGUAGGUAUUGAUGGUUACAUAAACUAUAUAUUAGUAUUUGAGCUUUGGAAAAGAUUACAUAAGUGUUCAAGAUCUUGUCGAGCUUAAAGAUUUUACAGAAUGAAAUGCUUGAUUUGAUGGGGCCAAAAUGAAGAUAGCCUUUGCUUCUCUCCUAACCCCUUUUGAGUAAUGUUACUUCAUCAAUGACCACGAAACCCAACUUUACUUUGGAUAAACUGGGAACUAUCCCUUUCAAAUCUACACAACCUAUGUAUUUGUUCAUGCAUCUUCUGAAAAAGAAGAAGAAGAAGAAGAAGAAAUGAUCUUUGUGCUAAAGUGGAUGAUAUUAUAUGGUUUCUAGAAGGAUCUAGUUUACAACCUAAAUGAUAUUGUAAAGGGUUCCAAUAAUUUCAUUUUGGGUACAAUUUUAUGGAACUUAUAUUUCUUUCCACAUAGCAGAGAGCAGAUGUACAUAUUGAGCAAAAUAAUGUAGCAGCUAAUGAGUGGUAUUUUCUUUAUUGUUAAACUAAUUGAACUUUGUUGAUUAAAUUUGAUCAAAUUUCUUUUUCCUCCUUUUCAUGAUGGCUAAGAACUAAAUGAAGAAAUGGUCCCCCACUGCCCUUUUUGACAUAUUGAUAUUUUUCACAAGAGUUCAAUGGUUAAAGAAACUCCACUACAAUGUGUGGAGGAUUAACAAUGCAUGCUAAAAGGUACAAACAAUAAGACUUUUAGAACUCAUAAGAAGGAUUGCAUCAUUGCCAUAAGUUAAAGCAUAUGGAGUCAUUCCGGUGGUAGACUUUUUUGAAAUUUUAUAUGCCCAUAAAGUUUCUGAUAACUCUUUUUUGAAGUUAAACCAUAAUUUUUUCCGUUAUUGUCUAUUAAAAUUAAUAUUCAGAUUAUUUGGGCUUUUUCUCGGGUCACAAUUUAGAGGCCCAAAGUCCAAAACCGAGUCUAAGAUAACGUUUUGUUCAUGUGUGUCUUGAAGUUCGGAGGCCUAUAAAAAUAGGCGGUCCAAACAGCCUAGUAUUUACCAACUUUUCAAUGUGAAAUAGUGGGACUUCGGUGGGUCCGAUGUUGACCACUUUGGCUUAUAUGGAUUUACAUUUACAACAAAGUUUGAGUUUUGAUGCAAACGGGAUUUCGCUUAGUGUAAAAACGAGGUAUUGAUUUGCAAAUCAGUGAUUUUGGGUUUAAGAUUUUAACUUGUAAACUAGUGAUUUUGGAUUUAAAUUUUAUGACACCUUGGUAGUGUGUAUAUGAGAAAUCUCCCGUCCAUGUAGUAUAGACAAUCACCUGUUCUUAAACCAAAAACCAAAAAAACAAAAAAAAAAUUGAAUUUUGUCUGUUGCCAUGGUGAGGUCCGAAAGCAGCUGUAAGCUCAGGGACAAGGAGCUCUCUUUGGUUGACUAAUUAAAUUAGUAUGAACAUGCAACAAAAGAAAAGAGACAAAAUGAGGAACACCAAUUUUCGGUACAAUGUAUAUAAAACAAAACAAAAAAUAUUUGUGCAUCAACCCACUCACACGAAUAUAUAUAUCUGUACAUAAGAUAAAUCCAAUAGGUGCACCAAUUGUCACGUUUCUAUUUUUCUAAUUAUCUUUGUUAUUAUCUCCAUGGAUGAUUACAAUAAUGAAUAAGCUAAUUUGCCUUCGCUUAUUAACUUCUUUUCUUCUUCUUUUUGUUGUUUAUAUUUUUGUCUUUUUUCUCUCUCUCGGGUAUACGCAGAGAGAAGCAAAUUCACAAGUGAAGAUGACGAUGAGAUGGAGGGUUGUCGUCUUCGCUGGUUCUGGUUGAAAGAAGACGAUGAUACAAAAAAUGUUAAUGUGAGUGUGUGAAUGUGUAUAUAUAUAUGUAUAUGAAUCUUCUUUAUAUAAUGGAGUAACGAACAAGUGGCGGGCAUAUGCAUAUUGCCAAAACCAUUGGAAGAGCUCUUUUGUCUUAACUAAGUACUUAGGGCGCUUAAUUAAUAUCGAUUUCACGUCAUGCAAAUAUUCAUACAACAAAAUUAUACGAAGAAAGAUGCUAAGAAGUGCAACCUUUUUUUCCUCUUUUUUUUUCUUCUUCUGUAAUUAACUAUCUCAUUUGAAAUAGGCUUAGCCCAUGUAUGAGAUCAUGCUUCAAUGAAUCCUUUGGGCAAACAAAGUGAUUGGGAAAACAAAAAUAUUCUAUGUCUCAACCAAAGCUUGCUUGUACUCUUUCAUUUGGAGCUCUCACAUAAACUUACAAUUAGCAAAGAAUACAUUUGGAGCUCUCCCAUUUGGAGCUCUCCCAUAUAUGUCCAAGAGUAAAGCAUCCCUUUAAUCCCCACCUACUCCUCUUCUAGAUUCCCAUACAACCUUUAAAACCAACCCAAGCUCAAAGCCUCCUCAAACUUUAUCAAUUAACACGCAACAAGCACAAUUUUCUCUAAAUUAAGCAUACACAAGUCCAUCUUCAUGUAUCCAUCAUCAUCUUCUUCUUUUUUGUCAUCGUCGUCACCACCUCUUGAAGCCUUAAAGCCAGAAGAAAGAGGGUUACAUCUAAUCCAACUCCUCAUCAAGUGUGCUAACCAUGCAGCAUCCCGCAACCUCAAUCUAGCUGAUGAAUGUCUUUGCCAAAUCUCACGACUUGCGUCCUUGCAUGGCGAUUCCAUGCAAAGGCUUGCUGCCCGGUUUGCCUCUGCUCUCGCGUUCCGUCUUGUCAAGAAUUGGCCCGGCAUCCACAAGGCCCUAAACUGUGACACCAAACGGCCUAAACUAGAGUUGGACCGGGCUCGCGUCAUCUUCACAAAGGCCUUCCCUUAUCUCAGUUUUGCCUAUGCCAUCAUCGCCCGAACCUUGCUCCAAGCCAUGUCCGCCGAGCGGGUAAUCCACAUUGUGGACUUGGGUUCUGCGGACCUAAAACUAUGGGCUCCACUUUUGCAGAGCUUCGCAGCUUUGCCAGAUGGGCCUCCCCAUUUGAAAAUCACUUGUGUAAAUAGCAAUAAAGCUGUCUUGGAGAAGUUGGGCCCAAAGCUUGUAAAAGAGGCAGAGGCCUUCGACAUGCCAUUCCAAUACAACCCACUAAAUGUUAGCCUAAGAGAGUUGACAAAAGACAUGCUUAAGGUAAGGUCAGGAGAAGCAUUGGGUUUUGUCUCAAUUCUCAAUCUACAUGUCUUAUUGGCCCAAGAUGACCAAGCGGACGCACAAUUUAGGCCCAAAAAGAGCAAUAUUGAUGUCAAGGAUUGUAAGCAAAUGGGUGAGUUUUUAGGCAUGGUAAGGUCAAUGUCCCCAAAAGUGGUGUUGUUGGUAGAACAAGAAGCUCACCAUAAUUUGAACCAUUUGGUGGACAGAUUCAUUGAGGGCUUGCACUAUUAUAGCGCAAUGUUUGAUUCAUUAGAGGCCAGCUUUGGGGGCUUGUCUUCAUCAAGUGAAGAACGCUUCGUUUUGGAGGAGAUGUUUGGGAGAGAGAUUGAAAACAUUGUGGCUUGGGAGGGUGUGGAGAGAGAAGAGAGGCAUGAGAGAUAUGCAUGGUGGAUGGUUAGGUUUUGUGAAGUUGGGUUCAAACCUGUGCGCUUGUGGUUGGAUUCUAUGGAGGAUUCAAAGAAGGGUUACAAGAUUAUUAGCCAUGGAACAAGUUUGAUGAUUUGUUGGAACGAAAGGCCUCUCUAUGCUGUUUCUGCUUGGACUUGUUAGCUAGCUUAGCAUCAUAAUUUCUUUUUUUUGUUGCAAUUAAUUAUAUGAAUACAAGUGCUAUUAAAGAUCAAAUUUGGAGUUAAAAUUAGCAAUUCAAGGCUUUUGUUGUGUUGCUCCAAGUGAUGUUUAUUUAUUUGUGCACGAGGUUUUUUUUUUGGGUCAAAGAGGUUUUUUUUGGAGAUUCGGUUUAUUUAUUUAUUUUUAUACAAGCGAUAUUUUAUUUUAAACUAAUCUAAAUUAUGGAGAGGAGGAUUUGAACUUGAGUGCAGAAUGGGAAGCACAUCCGCUCUAGCCAACUUUGUUAAACACAUAUAUGCUUUAUUUUAGUUUUGAAAUAAGUUAAACAUUUAAUAAUUUAAUAGAAUUCAUAAGUUAAUAUUUGAGUCAUCAAUCUAUCCGGGAAAGAAGAACCUCCAUCGUGGAGGCUCCAUGACAUAAAAUAAUGCACUUGGUGCACGAUAUCACAUUUAUUUUUUAAUAAAUUAUUGUGGUUUGUCACGAAAUUUAUUACCUUACAUGCUUAAUUAAAUUACUAACCUCUUGUCAUGCGUGUGUUAAUUGGCCUUUUUAUUUAUGUUAAAAAAAUUUCCAUAUGCAAAUAUCAUUUGUUUUUUUACAUCAGGUAACUAUAUAGAUAUUUACAAAUAGAAAUAAUAAUAAGAAAAAACAGAAAAAAGAAUGUGGGUGGAGUGGGGAGUGAAAAGAGGAAUGUGGAUGGAGUGGGGGAGUAACUUCCAAUAUAAAAGAUCUAAAAACAAGUGAAUUCUCUUUUUUCUAUUGGAUCUUAGCGAAGCGCCCCGGAUUCGGGCUGACCCGACAUUCCAACCCACCCAUCGUCCAUAACUUCCCAGCUCAUGUUAGCAAAAAUCAACUAACAGCUGCUAAAGUGUGCCGGGUGAGUGAGGGUUAGGGUUUAAGCAGAAAAGAGAAAAAGAAACGUUUCAAUUUAUACGAAAAUCAAAAUAUUCUAAUAGCGAUUAGCAGCAGCAGUGAUAGGGUUUUCAAAAUAACAAGCUUGUGUGCUUUGUACAUAUAAAAGUCGUUAAUUUGAUGCUACUUGCACAAACUCUCAGGGUUCUUGCACAAAUUCUCAGACUCCAAACCAGAGCUUCAUAGGAAGAAGGGGAAGAGAAAGUCUCUUGCUUUUACAGUGUUACGUUUGUUCCCAACCCAGAAUAAGCUAGAGGGCCACCCAAGGAAGAUACCCAGAGCUUGUUUUUGCAUGAAAGUGAAGGAACAAUGACGACCGAUCUCAGUGAUUACGCCAUCAUUAAGGAAGGAGAGGCUGAGAUUCUGAUGCAUGCUAAAAACCAAGUCUUUUACAACAAAACUCAGGUGCCAAAAUCUUCUCUUUUCGAUGAUUUUUGCAUUGGAUUAUUGGUUUUGAUGGGUUUUUGAGAUGCAACGUUAGGGGUAUUGUGUUUUUUGAGUUGGUUAUGAAUUGGAAGUUUGUUGGGUCAAUGUUAGUUGUUGAAAAGUUGCUGUUGGUUGCUGGGAAAACAAUGCAGGACAAGAAAAGAAAUUAAAGUUUUGAAUUAAAGAAGUCCGAGAUGUUAAGGUGGUAUUUGUGUGAUUAAUAUUCGUUGAGGAAUGUCUGUGAGGGGGUCUUGGAGAUGAAAUGUUAUAGGUGUCUCACAUUUGAAAGCAUUUAGGUGAAGCAACGCCAAUUCACAUGUAUGUAUCUCAAUAGGAUUAUCAUUUAGGUUGAGUAUAUUUUUGUCUAAUGGAAAAGAAUGGAACGUCAGAGGUAUGUGUCGAUCCCAAACAAUAAUGAUGUUGAUGAUUGUUGCCUUAAGUGGGUUUCUUUUGUGCUUUUUGUUUUUGUUUCAGAACUUUAUAAAAUUAUUACCAGAUAUAAAUUGUGUGUCUCCCUAACCAUGGGAAAAAGAAUAAAGAAAAUGAAAUAUCAAAAGUGAAUGCUCAUGGAUGAAGCGAGAAGCUGUAGCCGUCCGCACAUAUUAUACUUUUGGGCAUUCAAGUUGCUGAUCACUUUCUUAGAAUUUUAUAAUUUUGCGCGUUAUAGUUCUCUUUCCAGUUUUAACUUGUCUGCAGCCCAAAGUUCCUUGUUCUCAAAUAAAAACGUGUUUGUCAUCCACUGCUUUCAACUUUGACAUAUUUCCAACAUUUAACAGCCCUUGUCCAUUAUAUUAAUUGAACCUUUUUUAGUAUGGUAAAAAUGAUGUAGCCUAUGCUUUGCAAUAUAGGCGACUGUUAAGCUUUAACUAUUAGUAUUUGUUGGUUACAUUAACACCUCCAAUUUUUCCGGUUGGCUUUUAGAUUUCAUAAUAUAGAAGGAUCUUGAUUGUUUCAGUCUGUAAAAUUUAGGUUAACAACAGAGAUAUAUCAAUUGCGGUUCUGAGGGCAUUUAUUGAAAAACGCAAGGAGGAGCAUGUAGCAAGAUUGUCCAAGAAAACAAAAACAGCACCAAAGGUGUCUGAGAAAGAUGCUUCAAAUUCUGUUGUAGAAGAAGUAUCUAAUGAGUCUGAUAUUAUUGAUGAAAAAACGAAUGGAGAUUGUGAAGUGGCAGCAGAGAUAUCUCAAGAGGAACCAUGCAGCAUUUCAGAAGAACCGAACAAGGUCACAGAGGGAAAAGGACAAGUGGAACUGAAGCCACCAAGAGUUCUUGAGGUUUUUGCAUGAAUUUUAAUUUUAAUCAAUUAAUUAGUUUCUUUCAUAUUCAAAGUUUUGUUAUUGAAGAUGUAAUCGACAUUUCUCUUUUGUACCAUUUGUGUUCACAGGCCUUGUCGGCUUCUGGUUUAAGAGCUCUUAGGUAUGCUCGCGAAGUGGAAGGGAUUGGUCAAGUUGUGGCUCUAGACAAUGAUAAAAGUAAAUUUCAGGCUGUCUCAAUAUAUUGCAUCAAUAAUUGUCUAUAAAUGUAUAACAUUUUUGUGAUAACCUUAAAAAGAAUGAAUAAUUAAUGAACAUAUGGACCCAAAGAAUUAGAUAAGAUUCUAUUUCCUAUGUAAAUACAUGGUGGCAUAACUUAGAUAUAGCUGCAUAUUAGCUUUUCUGAUUAAUCGUAAGCUUCAUAACAGUAAUCACUAUUAUUUUCCUUCCUGCAGUUUCUGUUGAAGCUUGUAGGAGAAACAUCAAGUUCAAUGGUUCAGUUGCAUGUUCAAAGGUGGAAUCACAUCUUGCUGAUGCUCGUGUGCAUAUGCUCACCCACCCAAAAGAAUUUGAUGUGGUAUGCAUAUGUUGUUUCAUAUGUUUAUGUUAAUUCUCAAGGAAUUUUCAUUUAGAAUAGUUUAUCUGAAUAUGGUUAGCAAGUGCCAUAAUACCCCUAUGUUGAAUAAAAUAAAAUAAGCAAUAAACCCUAGACUGGUUGGUUUCAUCUCAAGGAGUUCUUGACAUAAACCACUAACAUACUCUUUGUUUGUUAUUGCUGUUCCAGGUUGAUCUUGAUCCUUAUGGUUCUCCCUCUGUCUUCUUGGACUCAGCGGUUCAAUCUGUUGUUGACGGAGGAUUGCUAAUGUGUACAGCAACUGAUAUGGCAGUGCUAUGUGGUGGUAAUGGGGAGGUUUGCUAUUCAAAGUAAGUAGUCAUACCUUUCUGCUGAUCUACUUUUGCUUGAACAUGUUUUCUGAUUCAUUGACUUAUCUAUCAAGAACUGUUUUGUGGUAUUAGAUACGGUUCCUAUCCAUUGAGAGGGAAAUAUUGCCACGAAAUGGCUUUGAGGAUCCUCCUAGCCUGCAUUGAGGUAUCAUUAUGUCUUUGAUUAUAGCCUUUACCUUGAACAUGCAAACUAUUUGAAGGUUGUUAUUUAGCCAGAAUGGAAGUAGAAUUGAUAUUGCAAUUCUGUUGGUAAUAUAGUUUUUGCCACAUCUCUUUUCUGAAGCAACUAUUUACAAUGAUUAUUUUGAGUUUCUCACUUCUUUGAUUUAUUCUGGGGUGUUCUAUUUUUGUAUAGUGAUGAUGUAGAUAACGAUUAAAUGUUUCGAUUAAGUUUAAAUUGAAGUUUGAUUGUUAUCCCAACUCAAGGCAGGCAAAUAACUAUAAACAUGAAGAGUACCCCGUAGAUCAUGAUUUAUAGUUUGAUUAAUGUUACUUCUAUGUAUAUAUUCAUUCUGGUGCAUAGUUAAUUCCUCUUUAUGCAAUGCAGAGUCAUGCGAAUCGUUACAAACGGUACAUUGUUCCUGUGCUAUCUGUUCAGAUGGACUUCUAUGUUCGAGUUUUCGUCCGUAUCUACUCGUAUGUGGCCUUUUUACUUUAAAUUAGUUCAAUGUCAGAUAUUAGGCUAAAUAACAUGUCUUUCUUUUGUUGUUGACUGAUAGUUCAAACAAUUGGUUGCAGUUCUGCAAGUGCAAUGAAGAACACUCCCCUUAAGCUCUCCUAUGUUUAUCAGUGCAUUGGUUGCGAUUCUUUUCAUCUUCAGCCUAUUGGAAGGACUGUCGCCAAGGUAUGAUGCUGAUAUAAUAUGCCUUCAGUGUUAGCAUGUGCUUAUGUAUUGAUGACAAAAAUCAUCUCAAGAAUGUUGAUUCUCUUUCUUUUCCCCAACUAUGUGUAAGGUCUAAAUUAUAUUUGUAACAAUGACCUUAAAAAGCUAAAUGGAAAGUUAGAAGGGUUGAUGUUACAAACAACCUUUUAGGACGGUUACCUUCAUUCAUAGGACAUUGAUCUGUCAUAGUUCUUAUCCUACUUAUUAGCAAGCUUUGUGCAACUGUACAAUAUCUUCAUAUACAUGUCUCUGUGAGUAUGUGUUUUGAAUAUGUUACACCCCUCUGAUUUAUUACAAAGAGUUGUGCAUGCGUUGAAGGCUUGUGGUUUUAUAUUAAUGGAAUAUGUCUCUGUGAGUAUGUGUUUUGAAUAUGUUACACCCCUCUGAUUGUUACAAAGAGUUGUGUAUGCGUUGAAGGCUUGUGGUUUUGUAUUAAUGGAAUUUUAUUUUAUAGUUUAUUUCAAUAGUUUUCUGAUAAGGCAUCCCUUUGCUUUUUCAGAACAGCAGUGUAAGAUAUCUACCGGGGUUUGGUCCUGUUGUUCCUCAAGAAUGCAAUGAUUGUGGGAAGAAAUUCAAUAUGGGUGGGCCCAUAUGGUCUGCUCCUAUCCAUGAUCAAGAGUGGGUAACUUCCAUACUAUCAGAUGUGAAAUCUAUGAAGGAGCGGUAUCCUGCUUAUGAUCGCAUCUCUGCUGUACUAACAACAAUUUCAGAGGUGUGCCCUUUGUUUGUUAUUUAUACUAUUAGAUAUAAAUUAGAUGUGCUGUUGUGUUUAAGCAUGGCUGGCAUUAGAUGCUACUGAAAAGUUUGCCUUUCUUCUAAGAAAUAAAAAUGAUAACUUAUGUUUUGGGCAACCCAAAAAUAUAGAUGUGCAUGUGUAUAAUAUUUAUGUCUUAUGCGGUUUUAGUAAUCUAGUUUAUUGUUUGCAGGAGUUGCCUGAUGUUCCUUUGUUCUUGAGUCUGCACAAUCUCUGUGCCACACUGAAGUGUACUUCCCCAUCUGCAGUGAUUUUCCGUUCUGCUGUGAUCAAUGCAGGAUAUCGUAUAUCCGGAACUCAUGUAAACCCCUUGGGGUUAAAAUCAGAUGCUCCCAUGGAUGUCAUUUGGGACAUAAUGCGCUGUUGGGUGAGCAGUCUCUUUCCGUUCUCGCUGGUUUUUUUUUUGUCAUGCAUAUAUAUAUAACUAGUUGACAAUCUGUUAUGGUCCCUGCUUCUUGAUCCCUCUCUGCCCCACAUUAGACAGUGUGAUUCUGUUGUUUAUCCUGUCUCUACACUGUAGAUUACUUGUUAACUGCAUUAGACUUUCCAUGAGGUUACUGCUGUUCACUAAUUGGUUGUGGGAUCAUAUUAUGCCUUGAUUCUGUGUAGGUGAAGAAUCACCCAGUGAAACCUCAGCCUCCAGAUCAAUCAGGAACCGUGAUCCUUGCUAAGGAACCUGUUCUCCAAGUAUGUUUUUCCCAUUCUUGGAUAUGCUUUUGCAUAUAUUUGUGACUGAAAAUUCUCUUACUGACAUGUUUUUUUUAUUUUGGCAGGCUAAUUUUGCUAGAGCCGUUGCGUCUCUAAGCAAGGCACAAACCAAGAAGGUAGCACGCUUCCUUCCAAAUCCGGAAAGGCACUGGGGCCCAAAGCUUAGGGCAGGUCGUCAAAUCACCAGCAAACACAUAUCUCUCUUGGGUCCAGACGCUGUCAAUGGAGUUCUUAACCAUGAAGAGGAUGAGGAACAUAAUGCCAAGCGUCAAAAGAUUGAAGAUCAUCCCACCCCAAAUUGAUGAAAUGAACGUUUUAAGUAUGUCAACCAAGUUGACCUAGAGCUCCAUGCAACCGUUACAGAGAGAACAUACAUAAUCCUCAUUCCUCUUAAUUUUUAUUUGGAGACAGCGAGAUGAGGGGGAGAGAGAGGCUUCUCACGAGCCAGUAAUGAAGCCGCAGUAAAAUUAACCGGAGCGGCAACUUUCUAGUGAAUUAGAAGUCAUUUUCAGCAAUUUUGAGUUUUGAUUAGACCAUAUUUAUUAGCAUACUUUUGAGUUUGUAAAAGCAAUUUUCUUGGAUUAUUAUUUUAUUUUAUUUAUGCAAGAGGUUGAGAAGUAAGUUUUAUUUUGAGAUAUUUAGUGAUAUACUCAUUCUUAGCACUAAUAUUAUAGAUAAACCCUGCAACAUUGAAUUUCUAUAAACAAAACUAAAAAAAAUUCAAGAAAUGACAGCUGGCCUUAUUGAAUUUAAUAUUGAUUAUUAAAUUACUUUGAUACCCUAUUGAGUGUUUUGGGUAUUUUUAUGAGAUUUUGAGAUUGGACUUGUUUUAAGAAAUUGAUGGCAGUUUUGUAAUUUAUAAGAAGUUAAAAAUCUUUUUGUUAUGUCGUAAAUAGGCUUUGGGUGUGUUUCUAAGAGCAUGUCCACCUCAAAAGGCUAAGGCUAAGGCAAAUGUAAGGCAAGGGCUGCUAUUAUUCACGUGAAUAGUGGCAGCCUUGUCUUUUUUGGUUCCACUUCAAAAGGCUAGGGUAAGGGCAAUGGCAAGAAAAAAAAAAGAAUAUGCAACAAAAUAUUAACUUGUUAUGUAUUUAUAGGGAAAACAUCCAUAAUUUUUUGGUAUUUUUUAAUAAUCAAAAAUUGAAUUUUUUUCAAUUUUUUUUUGCUCACUAACAUUAGAGCCCUCGGGCUGAAGCCCAGACAAGAUCUGUCCUUGGGCUUGUGGGACCCGGGCCUUGCCUGGGCUGUUGGUUGCACGCUGGAGGUCCAAACCCUUCAAAAGGGGCCUCCUGCCAUGGCUAAAGGCCCUGCGCUGGAGAUGCUCUAAAGUCCAUUUGAUAUGAAGUAUUUUUAUAAUUUGGGCCAUGUAUUGGGUAUAAUAGUGAAUCUCCCUAUUAUUUUUAUCUGAAAUUAAUUUUGUUAUAUACCCAGUGCCUGAAGUAAAUGCAGAAUUCGAAUAUGGAAGAAAGAGGAGCCCAGUAGAGAUGCCAAACCAUACACAUUGCACACUUGAAAAUAUAUAUUGGGGCAUCAACCUCACCCAGGUUCUCAUUUAACAAGAUGAAUGAAAAAAAGAUUGAAAGUCCCACCAAGAUAGAAAAAGCUUGACGAUUAACAACAAAAGUAUUGAGAUACAAAAAUAUGCCAACACGAGUCUGUUUAUCUGCCAAUUAUGUAUAGGCAAACGUUUAUCUUUGGAUUAAAAUGCUAAAUGAACUACAUAUUUUAUUGCACUAAGCUCAUUGGACGAAGUAAAUAAUUAAAAUUACAUCUGCCGGUAUGCAAAUCAAAGCGAUGACCAAAAUGUCUCAGGAGGAUAAAAAAAGAUACAGUGACUAAACUAAUGAUAGCUCCAAGAAAGUACAGCAAAUAUAAGAGCAAAUUGCAGUUGAAUAUUCAACUUUGUUUAAGUUCUUGUUUUACUUAGCCUUGCCGUUGGCCAGUUUGGCACCAGGUCCAGUUGGGUUAAGCUCAUCCCAAGCUUCAAUCCAUGUGACCAUGGCUUCGGCGAGCUUGUCGAAGUAGGGAUCCACCUUGCCGAGCUUUUCCUUGACCUGCUUGGACAGUUCAACAUAGCAAGCUUGAACAGUGGUGCAGUCUUUGGGAAGAACCGCAGCUUGGAAGAAUGGGAUGAUCUCUUCCUGCCAGAAGAUGCCUUUGUACUCCUUCCUCAGGUUCACAAAUGGGUUGCUGGCUUUGCUGUGAUAGAUAUAAGGCAGGCCUGUCUUCACUCCCAGUCCCAAGUGGUCACAUAUCACCUAUGCAUUCAUUAACAUACCACAUUAUUGUUAAUAUAUAUUCACAUGAAAGAAAGAAAACUAGAAUUACAAAUCUUAUUGGUAUGGAAGAAACAGAAAAAGAAAGGGGACCUUGAUGCACCAGCCAGCCCACAUAUCGUCGUAGCGUCCAAUUGGCUGACCAUCACCCAUGAGCCCGAAGUACAUUGCAGGGCCAAUGAGUUCACGGUCGAAACCCAAAUUCAUACCACACAUGGGGAACAAGGUGCCUUUUGGAAUUGUCAGAACAGCAUCCACAAACCUUGUGAAGAAGCACAAGCAGAGUGUUAAAAACCAAUAUUACAUAAUGCAGCAUACAAUGUGAGACGCAAGACUUAGGAAGUGUCUACCUGGUGUUCCUCUCAAGAGGCUUCACAAGCUGUGUAGGUGCAUCAUAAUCUGGGAUGUUUAGCCACAGACCAUGAGAAACAGCAGUCGGGACACCCUCGCGGAGACUGAAAGGGUAUCCACGAACGAAAUCAGCGCCAUCUCUGUAAGGAUCAUACAGAGUGUUGAAGAAAAAGGGGGUGGAUGGUGAAAGAAGGUUCUUGAUGUGCUGCUCUAGUGCAUUGACGGGUUUGCCAGCUGGGUCUUGUGCAACCUGAGCAUACACAUAAAAAAAAAAACCAUGAGCAGUUAAAUUAGACGCUAAUAAACUACAAUUAAGACUCCACCAUUUUUAUAACAUCAAAUAAUAAAAUAAAAUAGAAAAGAAAAGAGAAAAUAUGCCAAGCAGAUGCAUGCCCUGAGAGAGGAAAGGACAGAAGCAAGUUGCAGAUAAAACAAACACCAAAACUAUAUCUUAUCUCGCACCCAAAAAGAAACAAAUCUGGUAAUGUCAUUCUUUCUUCUAUUCCAAUAGAGAAGUUAAAACAAGCUAAAUGUAGAAAACUUAUUAAAAAAAGGCUGUGGCUUUUGCAUCCCUGGAAUGGAAUGGUACCAUUGGUCUCAGUCAAUCCAGUUUUAUUUGGAAUUGCAGACAUUGUUCAAUCCAAAUAUACAUUCUUACUACUGAAAAACUAUUAAUUAGAUUUGAGGUCUACACAUGAUCCAGUCUAGGCAUCAAACACACAUACAUGCAUUCAAACAUUGCGACAUUAGAGGCAUUAAAAUAAAAAUAAAGGAGACAGAACGUACCAAAUGAAUGAAAUCAUCGAAAUUUCACGCAAAACCAUGAAACAGAAGAUCAAAUAACAAGAAGAUCUAGACUUUAAAAACCCAAAAAGAAUAAAUAAAAACAAAACAAAGCCAAGAUGGGAAAAACAGAGGAAACAGCGGACUUACGAAGCAGUCAUCGUCAAUAGUGAAGAUGUACUUCUUCUUGGAGACCAUGUAGCCGAAGCAGCGGCAGGCAGAGUCCUUGAAGGAAAUGCAGGACGACCUAGGACCCAGAAUCCUGUUAAUGUCGUUACGAUUGUAGAGCUCAUAGUCAAAGCCAUCAGGGACCUUGAUGGUCUUUGAUGGGUCACCAUCUUGGACGAUGAUGAGGUGGUAGGGCUGAAGGAAUGGCCUCCACAUCUCGAGGAAGUCGAGGUUUCUGAUGGUGGGGAUGACAAUGUCAAGCUCAUCUGUCAAAAGGUGAGUUGCAGAAGCCAUUGCAGAAACAAAAGAUUGAAGCUUUGAGAGAGACAGAGAAGGAGGGAGAGAGUGAGAGGGGUAUGAAGGAAGAGAGGGAAUUUGUAUAGGAAUAUAAAUGGAGGAGGACGUGGUGGCACGUGAGGAGACGGAGAAAGCGGCACGAGUGUGGGGUUAGGAGGAGACGUGUCGGAGAUUUAAAGGUGAAAGAGAAUUGUUCAAACCAAAAGGCAGUCGAUUGAGAGAUUUGCAAAGACCAGAAGAAUAUAUGAUUUGAUUGAUUUUCUGAGGCUGUUCUUAGCUCUAAUUCCAUCAUGCAUUAUGAACCAUCCACGUGAUUUGUGAGAGUUUGAUGGUACAUUCGUUUUGUCAGUGUCACACAGGUUUUGUAAUUGGUUGGCUAAAUUAGCAGAAAAACUUGUGUGAAACGGGGAACCAAUUAAAGGUAGUUACGCGACAUGUGACAUGUCAUGAUUAACUGAGAGAGAAAAGCAGUGCUAUCAAGUGAACUCGCAGAGACGGUGGUAACUCUAGAGAUUUGGGAGGAGCAAAUUUAUCUCUCCGUUUACCAUAAACAAAGUUACCAUGUUCAAGUUAGUUGUUAGUGAGACUGGCACAGUGUUUUUCAUACAAACAAAACCUCUUGAGGAUCAUCCAAAUAUUAUGUCUUUAUUAACUUCAUAGUCCAAGGUAUAGUAGCUAAUGAAAAAAACCAAAAGAACCCAAUUUUUCUUUUAAUUAAAAAAACUUCUUUUAAAAUUGGAACAUGGGAAUUUUGAGUAACCGACAAUCUGAAAGGUAAACAAAAGAAAGAAACAUGGGAUAGGGAGAGAAAGGUGGAAGAGAAAAGGUGAAAAAGAAGAAGAAAAGCGUGUGGGUUCAGAAAGUUGAACGUGCAUUGAGCGUAGGAGCCUGUGUUGUGUUUCUCUUUGCGUCAAAUUAAAUUACUCAGUGAAAGAGAGAUUCUGGACUGGACUGCCUUAAUUCCCGCUAUUGAUUUCGGAGCUUUAGACAUCACCUCACGUGCGCAGCACACUCUCCUCACACAAAAUUUGGGCUUCAUCUUAAGCAACUCCCCCUCCUUUACGUUUCUUCAAAGUCAAUAGAGUAUUUAAUGACCCAAAAAACAAAACCUAGCCCAGAAUUACAACUUGGUACUGAAAUUGCUAAUUGCUUCUGAGUCUAAUAAUAUUCAAGAAUGUGAAAUUUCCAAUCAUGGGCAUGUUGAUUGCUUAGCCCAAAAGAGAUUUUUAGAGUUUUGCAUCUUAUCAAGCCCAUGAGUUGCAGAAGCUUACAGGGCAGAAUGCCCUACAAUUAUGGUUAACCGACAAUUGCUCAAUUUUUCAUAGAAAUAUGUGUAAAAUUCAUUUCAAAGUGGCCUCAUAUUAAACUGUAACUGCAAGUCCGUCUGUAGUAUAGGUUUUGAGUCUGCUACACAGGGCCUAGGGGAAUGCAUAUCAUUUGUCAGUUUUAGAGUUUUCUUCUGUCUCUGCAUUCCAGAACAUAACAUUAGCCGACAAAAGGAAAUUGCUCAAUUUCAUUGAUUCUCUAUUGUGUUAGCACGUUAUCAUACAUCAUAAAUAUUUUCUUUCAUAUGCUCUCUCUCUCUCUCUCUCUCUCUCUCUCUUAUAUUCUUUUCCAUGUACAUAAUUCAGUUAGCAAGAUGAGACACCCUAAGGUGCAGUCCAUUUGGUGCCUCUACUCUUGGAAAUUUCGUCAGUUUGUCUCCCCCAACUUCUUCCCACCUGCAAGGAACACGAAUAUAUACCAUCAGAACAAGCAUUAGAAUUUCAUCUUAACUGAGAAAGUUUUUAAAUAAAUAAAAAAAGUUGAAAAUUUAUGUGUUUUGAUGUGGGUUUUUAGUCACCUGUAUCUAGUUACGAAGUAGUGCAGGAAAGUUGAAAUCUCUGCAAUUCCAAGUUCCUUUCCUGGACACUGCCUUGUGCCCCCUCCAAAUAUAAGGCAGUAGUUGUGAGAUUCCAAGCUCUUGUCCUGCAUUUUUCAUUCAGACCCAAUUUAGUCACAUUUUCUAUGAAGAAAUUACUAAUCUUAAUCUCACAGGAAAAUAAAUAAAUAAACAAAUAAAUAAAUAAAGAGUGUCACUAACCAGCCAUCUCCAUGGAUUGAAGGUUAAUGGAUCAGGAUACAGAAAGGAGUCAUAAUUAAUCUCUCUGGUGUAAACAUAAAUUCUCCACCCCUUUGGAAUCAGAUAACCUGUUGAAGGAUUGAAGAAAAAAGCUGUGGUUAGCUACUUGAAACAUAUCUUAGCUCCUGCCUUUGUUGAUGAUGAAGCUUAAUUUUAAGCCCUGGUCCACCACUAUCUUAUCUAAAACCCUAGCCAUUAAAAACCAUCUUAAAUAUUAUGCAACCUAAAUUUCCCUAUGUCAUUAAAAAAAAUCCUGAUUGUCUAGCUGUGUGGGUAUAUUUGUUGUGAAAAAUAAUCAUGGGUGUGGACACAUCACUCUUGUGAGUCAUAUCUAUGCACUGUUUCACUCUCUUUUUUGGCCAAUAAUGUAUUGGAAGUUGCAUAACAGUUUCUUGAAUAUCAUAUAUGCCUUUAAAAAAUUUCAUGUCUCACCAUUUAGCUCCAUAUCUUGAGUGGUUUUCCUCAGCACCCCAUUGACAAUGGUAGCUAAUCUUGAGGUCUCAAAUAUCACCUGCAGGGGAAAGAAAAGAGAACAUAGAAAUAUUAGCAAACCCUGCUGUUAUAAUAAGAAAAAAUGCAAACGAUGCAUCCAAUUAAAGCUGAGAAAUCUCUUACCGCACGAGUAAACCGCAUGGAUUUCAAGUCAUUCCAGUCAAUUGGAUCCUCUGGCCUUUUCUUUUCUCUGAUUGCCAAAUGUUCUUUCUACAAAUUAUGCAGUUAAAGUCAGAACUGCAAGCAUGAGAAUGCAACACAACAACAUGAACAAGAACCAAGUUUUUUUGUUUUUUGUUUUAAGAAUCAUAUACAUCUUAAACUUACUCUGAGUUCUUCAAGCGCUUUGGGAUGAUCAUGGAGGUACUUCACAGCCA